GUCUUUGAUCUUUGGGGUCUUCACAUCCUUGAACUUUCUUUCAACAAACUCAAUGGCACCCUUGAACUAAGCAAAUUUCAAAAACUAGAGAACCUUACUAUUCUGAGUCUUUCACACUAUAGGUUGUCAAUCAAUGUGGAUGGUUUCAAUUCCACCUUUUCUAAACCCCCGCAUUUCACCACAUUAAAAUUGGCUUCUUGCAACCUGAGAAAAUUCCCUGAUCUAAGGAACCACUCAAAGUUUUUGACAUAUUUAGACCUUUCACAAAACCAAAUUCAAGGGGAAAUACCUAAUUGGGUUUGGAUGAUCAGCAGUAGCUUCCUUAUGCUUUUGAAUCUCUCACAAUUUGCUGGUGGGUCUGCAACAACUUUUCUCCAAUUUUGCUCCUUAUCUCUGUCUACACUUGACCUACAUUCCAACCUGCUCCAUGGACGAAUCCCCACCCCACCCCAAUUUUCCAACUAUGUGGAUUACUCAAACAACAACUUCUUCUCUUCCAUCCCAGAUGAUAUUGGUACUUACAUGUCCUUCACUGUUUUCUUCUCUGUUUCAAAGAAUAAAAUCUCGGGAAUCAUGCCUGCAUCCAUCUGCAGUGCAACUUACCUCCAAGUUCUUGACUUUUCUAACAAUGCUUUGAGUGGUGGAAUACCUUCAUGUUUGAUUGAGAAUGAGGCUCUUGCGGUUCUGAAUCUACGGAGAAACAUGUUUAGCGACACUUUAUCUGGGAAUUUUCCUGGAAACUGUAAUUUACAGACUCUAGAUCUCAAUGGCAAUCUUUUAGAAGGGACAAUUCCAGAAUCCGUAGCCAAUUGCAAAGAGCUAGAGGUUUUAAACCUUGGAAAUAAUCACAUAGAUGACAACUUCCCUUGCUGGUUGAAGAACAUGAGAAGUUUGCGUGUGCUUGUUCUGUGAGCCAACAGAUUCCAUGGACCCAUUGGAUGUCCAAAUAGCAAUUCCACCUGGGCAAAGCUUCAGAUUGUAGACCUAUCUUACAACAAUUUUAGUGGGAAAUUCCCGGCAAAAGGCUUUUUGACCUGGAAAGCAAUGAUGGCUAGUGAAGAUGGAGUCCAAUCAAAGCUAAAUCACAUGCAAUUUAAGGUCCUAGAAAUGAGUGAAUUGUAUUAUCAGGAUGCUGUAAGUCACCAGCAAAGGUCAAGAAAUGGAGCUUGUGAAGGUCCUGACUCUCUUCACUUCCAUCGACUUCUCCUUCAACAACUUUGAAGGCCAGAUACCAGAAGAGAUGGGAAACUUCACAUCACUAUAUGUCCUCAACUUAUCCGGUAAUGGUUUCACAGGCCAAAUCCCAUCAUCAAUAGGGCAGCUGAGACAGCUCGAGUCAUUAGACCUCUCACGCAACCACCUGAGAGGGAAGAUCCCCAGAGAGUUUGUGAGCCUAACUUUCCUUUCAGUCCUGGACCUCUCCUUCAAUCAGUUAGUGGGGGCAAUCCCAAGCGAUAAUCAAUUUCAAACAUUUUCAGAAGCUACUUUCCAAGGGAACAAAGGAUUGUGUGGCAACCUUUGAGUGUAAAUUGCGAAGAGGAAACACCAUCACCGACGUUUGAUGACAGGCACUCAGCUUCCCGAAUGGAGAUUAAGUGGGAAUACAUAGCUCCUGAAAUAGGAUUUGUGACAGGGUUGGGAAUCGUGAUUUGGCCUCUAGUGUUGUGCAGGAGAUGGGAGGAAAAGCUACUACAAACAUGUUGAUAGAAUUCUUUCAAGGAUUCUCCAUAACCAAGACCAAAGAAGAGCGAGUGAUGGAAGAAGAGCUCACAGGGAGGCGGAGAAUGUAGCAGUGGUGCAGAGGGAUGUAGUUGCUAGUCAUAGUCUAUUUCCAUUAAUGAAAAAAUUGUAUAUUUAGGUUUGAUUUCUAUAAAUUUCUGGUGAAUGCAUAACUUUAUAUUUGGACGGUAUAAUGGUGAAGAUUUUUGAGGAUCAUAAGAAUUUGAUUUUCCGAAUAACUUUACUCCCAGCUUUUAUUAAACAUAUAUUUUUUUAAUUUAUUAAAGAAUUUAAAUUCUGAAACCACCCCAUCAAAAGCUUUUCUACAAAAGUAUCAAAUCUUAAAUUCGGGGGAAAAAAAAAACAAAAAAUAACCUUGAAAGUUCUUUGGCUUCAUAAUAUUUUAGUCAUAAAAUCCUUUUCAAUCAUUGUAUAAAACUCUAUUUUUUUUUUUCAAAAAAAAAAAAUCAAAGCUAUGGAAAAGUUUGAACAUGAGAUCCAACUAUAUAUAUAUAUAUAUAUAUAAAUAAUAUUUAAUAAAAAAAUCUGUUCUACCCAUGUGCAGACAAGCUUCUUAUUCAAAGCCAAAACUAUAGUCUAUAACGUUGUUAAACGUGCCCAAAAUAAAAUUCUAAUUUUGGGCUGGAUGUGGGCUUGAGUUGGGUCAAACUUGGUUGGCUGGAUUUGGGUCAUUCAAAAAAUAUGGGCCUGAUUGGUACAUCAUAUGACCAACUGAGGUAGCUAGGCCCAUAUUCAGCCCAAUUAACACAUCUGAAGCCAUAAGGGAUUCAAGAUUCAAAAACACGUAAUUACCAGACUAGGUUGUAAUUUUGAGUCGCUACAGAUAAAAGAUCUUCCUAUGUUAUACUAUCCAAUUUUCAAGAAUAAACAAUUUGAUAGCUUAGAUAUUGUUAUUCGUGAUAUUGAUAUGAUUUAAUAUCAUCGAGAUGUAAUUCAUACCAUUGAAUUUACAUUAUAGUUGAAAGAUUUAUCAUCUUUAUGAGAUUAAAUCUCGAGUUAUUACCAAAAAUAAAAAUAAAAAUGAUAUUAUGGAAGUAAAUACUCUCGCAUUUGUUGCUAUUGCAAUCUCCAUUCUAGGUCCUAAUAUUUUACUUAUCAAUUAUGUAAAAUCAAUUAGCCAAAACAACUAAUUUGAAUGAAAUUGAACUUCUUAGUUCUUAUCAUUAAUUAAAGAAAUAAAAUGAAUAUCAAUAAUUGAAUAAAUAAAAUGAAAAGGGUUCCAAUUUAGUGUCUUAAAUGAAAUGUAAUAUAUUUAGGUAUUUUUAUUUCAUACCGAACUUUUGACAUAUGAGUUUGACUACUAAUCCAAGAAAAAAGGAUAUUUAAAAAAAAAAUCAAACAACAAUCCUGCCACUCUUACCAAGGUAAUGAAUAAUCCUUUUUAAGGGGUCCAUAAAAAAAGAACAAACUCUAAAAUAGUGAAUUAGUUUUAUGGAAUAUUAUAUUUUUAUAUUAUGACUUGGUUUUAUCACUUUGCUUUGUCUUUCAAUAAAAUUAGAUCAUUAAAAAAAUAGAAUUUAGAACUGAAACCCUAUUUCCUUUUUCCAUUUCACUUCUAUUAUUUUUUUGGGUUUAUAAUAAAUGGAUAAUACUUAACUUAAGGGGAAGAAAGUCUAACAUUACAAGUGGCUGCUAUAAAAAAUUCUAUAGAAUUUAUCAUUUAUCAUUUUUAAUUUUAAUAAUAUAUAAAUGAUAUAUUUAUGAUAUUAUUAGUUUGACCAUAGUAGUUUGAUCAUUGCAUCGUGAACUAAUAACUUUUCCAAUUCGAGGAUUGAUCAAAUUUUGAAUACAUGGAGCAUGACAAAUGGAAAAGCAAAUUAAUUUUUUUUUAAAAAAAACAAAAAACAAAAACAUGAUUUCUACAUCAAAAUCUUUAUAAUCGCUCAUUAUGGAUGGAUUUACAUGCUCCUUCUAAGAUAUCUAAUCUUGGUGGAAAGUAUUAUGCAUUUGUUAUUAUGAAUGACUUAGGUACAUAUGAGUUCUAUUUUUAAGUCACAAAAAUGAACAUUUUAUUUUUAUUUUUUCAAAAUUUUGUAAAAAGGUUAAAAAUGAAAAAUGUUUCACAAUCACAUACAUGAGAAAGUAAUCGCAAGGGAGAAAUUGAAAAUUUUGAUUUUGCAACCUUUCGUAGUGAUCAUGUAUUGAACAUAAUUUUUUAGCUCUUAAAAUACCUCAACAAAGAGUUGUUAAAGAGAGAAGUAGAACUUUAUAAGAAAUGACAAAAACUUAGCUUAAUGAAAAUAAUCCGCAAAAUUAUUUUGGGUGAAAGCAACUAAUAUUACUUGUUAUAUUUUAAAUAAAAUUUUAAUGUAAUCCAUUUUGAUUUCUAUGAGUUUUGAAAAAAUAAAAAAUUCAAUAUUAAUUAUUUUAAAAUUUUUUGGUGCAAAUGUUUUAUCUUAAACUAAAAAGAUAAGGGAUUCAAAAUUAGAUAUUAGGAUUUUCCUUGGUUAUUCUUGUGUAAGUAAAAGUUGUAUAGUUCUCAACAAAAAGACCUUUAAAGUAGAAAGUUUAUGCAUGUUGUAUUUGAUGAAUAUAUAAUCCUUUCUCUCAAGAUAGCAUCAAGCUUAAUGAUGAGAUAAGUCAUUAAGAAAGGCUAAGCAAACUCAACUUGGAUAAAACUCAACCUUGACAUGAAGUAGAAAAUCUAAAGCCUAUAAAAAGGAGCAACUUUCACUUGUGUUUCCACCAUAAGAAGGGACAAGUACUCUAGAGAUCUUCCAAAAGAGUGAAAGUUUGUCAUCCAUCAUCCUCAAGAAUGAAUUAUAGGUAAUCCAUUUAGAACGAAAAAAACUAAAUCAUCUCUUAAAAAUAUUUGCAACAUUCUUGUUUCCUUGUCUCAAAUUGAACAAAAGAAAAAAAAAAAUUCAUGAGAUUGAAAAUGAUGAAAUUGGAUAAAUGUUAUGCUAGAAGAGCUAAAUAAAUUUAAAAGGAAUGAACGACAAGAACUAGCUUAUGGACCUUCUAAUCAAUCUAUAAUAGGCACAAAUGGGCAUUUAUAAAUAAAAUAAAUGAAGAUGUUGUAAGGGUAAGAAACAAGGGUAGGUUAGUAAUUGGAGGUUUUCAUCAAGAAAAAGGUAUAAAUUAUGAGAACACGUCUACUUUCUUUCUAGAUUAAAGGCUAUUAUGAACAUGUUGAUUGCAUUUACAUGUUAUAAAAAAAUUAUUUGAUAUUAAAUGGAUGCCAAAUGUGCAUUUUCAAAUGGUUAAAUAAUAGGAGUGUAUGUAUGGCAAUCUCUUGGUUUUACAAAUUAGCUAGCAACAAUUUAUUCAUCUUUUGUUAUAUAUGUGGAUAAUGCAACUAAAUUUUACCUUUUGUUAAACCAAGAAACUAGUGAGGUCCCAAGGAGUGUUUCACUAGUGUGUUUCUUAUAUAUAUAAUUAAGUCAAAGUUAGUACUCUUACAAUGUCUUAAACCAAAAUAAAUAAUUAUUCUUUUUGAAUAUCUAAAAAGUCUAUUUAUAACAUUAGAAUGAGAUUUCUUAGGACAUGAUUAAAAUCUUGUACACAAGCAUACACAAAGCAUGAUAUCUGACUUAUUAAUGGUAAGGUAGUACAUUGAACCAAUCAUGUCACUAUAAGAGAGUAUGGUUAUCUAAAAAUUCUAUAUAUGACAUCAGAAUGAGAUUUCUUAGGACAUGAAUAAAAUCUUGCAUGUAAGCAAAUGCUAAGCAUGAUAUCCAACUUAUUAAUGGUAAGUAGUACAAUGAAUCAAUCAUGUUACUAUAAAAGAGUAUGGUUAAUAGAUUGUCCUUGUUCAUCUUUGUUAAGCUUGAUAAAUAAACUCAUUAAAGUUUCCAUAGUCUUUAUAUCUUCCAUCUUGGACUUUUUAAGAUCUUUAAUAUAUUUUAUUUUAUUAAUAAUGUAUUUUUUUGAUAGCUCAACUUGUAGAUCAAGAAAGUAAUUGAGCUCUUUUAUCAUAUACUCAUUUCAAAUUCAUUUUGUAUACACUUAUAGAAUCCUUGACGAAGAGAGAUGUUAGAAGCACUAAAUAUUAUGUUAUUAACAUGAAUUUGAACUAUGAGCAAAUCAUUACCUUUGGUGCUGAUAAAAAAUUUAAUGUUUAUUUUGCCCAUUUUAAAACUAUUAUCAAGUAGAAAUUUGUCCUAUAUUUUAUACCAUGCCUUAAAUUUAUAAACAUGUCUAUUUCAAAAAUAAAAAUAAAAAACUUAAAUACAUUAUCCAUACUUUCAUAUUAAACUUUUUUUAAAAAAUAAAAAUAAAUUACCUAAAUAAGUUCAAGAGAAUUCACCUUCUUAAAAAUAUGUUAAAAAAACAAAAAAAAAACAAAACUUAAAUAUAGAGGAAUAAUAGAUGGGAAAUUAUGACAUAUAAUUCUCAUUGAUGAUGAUGGAUAUUUAUAUACAAAUACAGUUGAGUUAUAUUAUAAUUGAAACUUUAUCUUCUAUUAUAAUUCAAACUAAUGGUAAACUUCUACUCUAAUUCAAAUUGUAUAUUCUACUCUAAUUCAAACUAAUAUAUAAUAAAUAGAUAAAUACUAAUAUUUAAAUUACAAAUAACAUUAACUUUCUUUGAUAUGCCCUUGCAAGAUGUAGCAUUGAUUGGAGAUUCAAAUCUUGGUCUUGAGAGAAAUAAAUAAAUAAAUAGACUGCGAUGUAUUCAAAUUUUUUUGGGGAGGGUGGUUUCCCCGAGUCUAGGCGAUGAGUGGAUUCAACUUCGUGGCUAAAAGAUUAGGCAAAAGUAGUGGGAUCUUCCUAAGUCGAAUUUCUAAAAUCUUUGAGGAACUUAUAGAAAAAAAAAAUGUUUGUUAAAGGAAGAGUAGGAUUAAGAGCUUUAUUUGGCAUUAAACUAGAUAAUGUUUUAGAAGUUAAUGCAAUAAAUGACAUAGGAGUUAAAAGGGAAGGAAUAGUAUAAGGCAAAUCUCAAGUAGAGGUAGAGGAACAUGACCAUGUUUGUUUUUCGAAGACAUGCUAGAAAACAAUCAAAUAUUUGAGGAAGCUUUUAGAGAAAGAGAGAGAGGCAAAGUUGAAGAUAAUAAAUAAGUAUAUGUUUAAUUAAGGGAACCAAUAUUGGUAGGAAGCAAAGAAGAAGAAAAUUGUGGAAGGUUUGAAACAAGAAAAUUUGAAGCUCUUGAUGUCAAGAGGUAUUGAAAUCAAGAUACUGCAUUAGAGAUUGUAGGGAAAGAGACAUUGAAACCAAGAUAUUACAUAGGAGUCUAUAAGGAAUGAGGCAUUGACAAUAAAUAGACAUAGUAAGGUCUCUAACAUUUGUGGUAGGGGUUGAGGAAGGUGAUGUAGGGCCUAAGCCUACACCCUAAAUUUACUCCAAGUUGAGACUAGGGUUUAGGAUUCAAAGGCUUUGAUACCAUAUAGAGGAAUAUUUUUAUAGAAAUACAUUUGAGUUCUACUAUAAUUCAAACUAAUAGUAGACUUCUCAUCUAAUUCAAAUUCUAUAUUCUACUCUAAUUCAAACUAAUAUAUAAUAAAUAGAUAAAUACUAAUAUUUAAAUUAAGAAUAACAUUAACUUUCUUUUAUAUUAAAUACAUUAUCCAUGUAACUCAAAAAGAAAAAAGAAAAAGAAAUCUUAAAUGCAUUAUCCAUGCUUUCAUAUUAAUUUUUUUUAAUGAAAUUAACAAAAUAAUUUCAAUAGUAUUUGCCUUCUAAGGAACCAAAAAAUAAAAAAUUUGUUCAUGCUUUUAGAUUUAUAUAGCGGAAAAUACUCUUAUCAAUAUAUUGACUUGCAAGAUUCUUUUGAUUCAACUUGAAGAAUAAGGUAGCCUUACUGCAAAGCUAACCUAUGAAUUAUAUUUUGACCCACAAUUUUAUAGCCCCUUCUAUAUCUUUUUCUCAAAUUUCAACAAACCAAAAAAUUGUUUCAUUGAAAGAGCAAUGUCUGUUUUUUUUUUAAUAUGGUUAAUUUGAAUGUAUAGAAAAUAAAAAUUUUUAAACUAAAUUCUUUAUAUAACCACAUAUAAAUAAUUUUCAAUUAUUUCAUCAAAUUUAAUCAAUUUGCAUGUUAUAUACAUAAAAAUAAUCAUGAUAUUCCUAUCAAUAAAUUUUUUAAAUCUCUUUCAUGUAGUAAUUGAGUUCAAGUUAAGUAUAACAUGAAAACAAAAGUACAAAAUUUUUGAAAAUGUAUUAAAAAAACAUAAAAAUGAUAGCCAUAGAAUAGUAUUUAUAUAUUAAAUAUAUUUUAAUGUGUUUUCAUGUAUUGGAAUUCAAUGAAAUACAAAUUUUAUUUCCACAUUAAUAUUUAUUAUUAAUUUUUGAAGUCUUGUUUGUUAUUGAUAGACAUUUUAUUUUGAACUAAUGACACACAAUUUACUAUAGAUAUAUUAUUUUUGUAAAAAAAUAAUUUAAUAUGUGCAUUAUUAAUUGUUUUAUUAUUUUCAUAAUUUCAUUUAAAGUUUAUAUUGUCAAAUUUCAAGAUUUUUUAAUCAAAGUUUUCAUUGUUAUUAAUAUUUUCAUUGAUGUAAACUACCAACAUUUUCAUGGAUAUUAAUUUUUUUUAUUAUGUAGGUUGUAUCAUAUGGUGUAUCACUCAUUUAUGUCUUAAAUAUAAUUUUCAAAAUUUAUUCAUUUAUCCUAAUUUGAAACUUUAUUAUUAUUAUUGUUGUUAUUAUUAUUCUAAUAAUAUUUUGCUUUUAUUUAUCCAUAACAAAAUAAAAAAUAAUUUAAUACAAAUUUGAUUUUUUUUUUCAAAUUUUUCUCACAUUCUUUUAUAAAAAAUUAAGAAGAAAAUCUUUAACCACUUUUUUUUUCUUUUUUUAAAAUUUUUUAUUUAUCAAGAACUAUCUUUCUUCAUAAGUAUUUUUUUUUUCCUUUUUCUUAAUAAUUUCCAAAAGUUUUUUGAGCCAUUAAGACUAUGUUUGAUUCCUAAAAUAUUUGAGGGAAAAUGCAAGAGAGCUAAAAAAAAAAAAAGUGGAAAAGUAGAAGGAAAUAAAAAAUGAAGAAAAAUAAAAAAUAGAUUUGAAGUUAAUAAAUUGUUUUUAUAUACAACUUCAAACUCAUUUUAUUGAUUUUAACUCUUUCAUAUGAAGAUUAAAUAAUUUGAAAUUGUAUCAUUUUCUAACUAGUUUUAAUAUAUAUUUGAUUUUCUUUAGUAUUUUUCACAUGACAAUCAAAUAUGAUAAAAUCAAUUUUUUUUAAUAUUUUUUUCUUUCAUUAUUGCUUUCCGGGAAUCAAACAUAAUCUAAAUUUCUUGUUCUUUUUUCCACAAUAGAUCAACCAAGAGAAUAGAUAAGGGUCGUUGAACUUGACUUGAUGUAGAGAACCUUGAAUUUCUCUCUUUUCUUCCUCCAAUUACCUUGCCAAUUCAAAACGCCUUUAGUAGCAAGACUUUGAGGUCUACAACUAUGUACAAGUCAUGCACUCAAUUAUGCCAAAAACAUCACAUUCACAAGUCUUUUUCUUUCACUCUCCCAACUAACUUAAAUACUUCCUAUUAGAGAAACUACUAUAUAAAUAGUUAUAAAAUGUAUACUUAUUUAUAUUUAUUCAUGAUAAUAGGUAACAAUUAUAAUUAAAACAUGGAUUUUUGAGAUGAUAGCUACAAUAAAUUGAAACCUCAUCCAAUUAUUUUAGGAGAGGCAAAAUAAUGUUUGAUUGACAUAUAAACUAAACUGAGUAAAUUACAAGAAAAAUGUUAUGCUUGUUAAAGAAUUUGAGCAUUGACUAGUGUGUUGUUUGUGAUUCGUCCCUAGCAGCGGCAGUGGCAAUGGCACCAUUUGAUUCGAGGUUCAAUCCCCGGCAACGGCACCAUUUGGUUCGUGCCCAAUUGGUGUCUCAACUGAUUCGUGUCCAGCUGGUGCUCCUUGAUUGAGGGAGUAAUCAACAAAAUUUAUAACCUAUUAUACCAUGAACUAGGGUAGCAAAGACAAAGCUACUAUAGCAUAGUGGCUCUAGGAUCGUUCACUGGGAUGGGUUUUCACUUUGUAAAUGAUAUUAAUUCAAAGCUGAAUUGGUGCCUUUUCAUUUCAAGGUUAGCUUUAAAAGAAAACAUAAAGAUGUUUAAAUGAAAAAGGUUUGAUUUUAAACUAACAAAGAAUAGUAACUGAUUUUACUUACAAAGAAAAGUGUUUCUUGGAGUUCGGAUCACUAGGCUCAGAUUCCUCAUACAAAAAGGGAGUUCCGGUCACUUGUUUCUUUCCCUCGCAUUAGAGAAUUAACAUAUAGUUCCUUCUCCAACCGGUGUUGUACAGAUGCUUCCCAUUAAUGGGUUCAAACACUAAAUCCCUCUCACUGAUGCACCUUGCAAUGACUCAUACCUCUCACCUAGCACUUGCCAUUCAAGAUGAUCUUUAAUCUUGGACUUCCCUUCAAAAGCUCGCAAGAGAUAACUAAUGGAUGUCUCCUUGGAGUCCAAAAGCUUACCAAGUGUUGGCUAUUCUAGAAAAUCCUACCUUCAAGUCACCUCCCAAAGGCUCGCAAGGGGUAAACUAGUGCAUCUCCAUGGACGGAGAUCACUUGCCUUACCAAGUGUUGGCCCAAGUGAUUUAAAGGCGUUUUAAGUUAACUAAAAAGAUAAAAACCAUUAACGGGUCACACUUUCUCUUCAUUAAAAACUAAAACAACAAAACUUCCAAUUUAUGCAUGUGGAAACUUACCCGACUUUCCUUACUCCAAGAGACAAAGAGCCUAGCCUCUCAUCUUCUGAGGAAAAAUCCUCAGAGUUUGAUUAGCUAGAAAGAAAACUAAAGAGAAAACAAGAAUAUAUAAGAAAAACAGAGCAAGUGCUUUGUUCGUUGAUUCUAUAUAUGAUAUAUCUAUAUAUUGAUCGAUUACAUCCUUUUUCUUACAGUGGAUGCAAGGGAAUAUAUAUAGAGACGUUUUUCCAACCUUCCUAACUAAGAAAUCUUAUGGUUGGUGGAUUACAAGGAGAAGAAUGGAAAUUCAUACAAAAAUAUCUGAAGAAAAAUAUCCCAAAGUGUCGGUCGCAAAUAUCGGGAAGCACUAAGGACCAUUUCGCAAGUGAAAACGAGGUCUGCGAGAUUUCGCAGACAUCCAAAAAGGGCUGCGAAAUCACUUCGCAGCAAAAGGUUAUUCUCGUAGGGCUGCGAAGUUGGCUUUCAUCUUGAGGUGCUCAGCUUCCAACUUGCGGCUUAUAUCGGGCAACUUCAGGAGGAAUUUCACAGCACUGUACAAAAAGGCUGCGAAAUCAUUUCGCAAGAAAAGGGUGAUUCCGCAACACUUUGCAAAAUGCUUUCUUCAGCUUAGAGUGAUUGACUUGCAGUGGCUGUAACUUCUUCGUUUCAAAUCCAAAUUGAACCCGUUUGAAGCAUUGGAUUCUUGACUUCCUGAGCUUUGAAAUGGUAUAUAGUAUGUAGAAAAUGGACUUCGGGAAGUGCUCCAAAAGUGGCUGACAUGACUGUCAUCAAGAAUGCUUCAUGGCAGAUUUCUCUUUACUUUCCCUCCUUGCAUUCCGGAUUUGCUUAUGGCAAAGGACUUCAAAGCUUUGGUUCUUCAUGAAUUUGAGCUUCUAAAAGCUUUGCCAUAACUUGUUCAAGUAGCUCCUCCAUCAUUUGGCAUGCUUGAAUUGAUUCAUAAGCUGAUAAAAACAUGUAAACUUGCCACAAAAUGGUUAAAACCAAUUACUAAGGACCUUAAUGAAUUAAUUGGGUUAAAUGAAUAUGAUUACUACUCAAAUUAAGGUGCUUAAAACCAUUAUAAUUAGGUCUACAAAAUAGCACUUUUUGGUAGUAAUCAGUUUGGGCUAGAGAAAAGGUGGCAAAGAAAAAAAAAUAUGGAAGGGAGACUUCCAUUUUCACAUUGGUGGGAAUAUUGAGUUGAAUCUAAUUUCUCAAGUGACAAUGAUUUAUCCCAUUGAAUUCAAAUUAAUAAAUUUUAUCAUUAUAGAUAUUUUGAUAUUUUUAGUAAUGGAAUGAAAUAAUGUGGAUAUUGGAUUCAUUUAGUAUCACUUUCUAAAGUUAAUUCAAUAUGUAUGCGUGCAAAACUCUAUAAAAUUGAAUUUAUUAUUUAUGUUGUAUGCCACAAAAUUUGUAUAGACUCCAUUUUUUAUUUAUUAAAAUGAUAUAAAAGUUAUAGUAAACAUGUUUUUUUUUAUAAAAAAAAAAAGAAGAAGAAAAGUACGUACAAAAAAAAUUCUCAUAAAAUCUUGAAAAACUAAUAAAUUGUUAUGUGACUUGAAAUGACAUGAAUAGGGGUUUGAGUUUAUGUCUUGAUAUAUGAAACUAUCUUAAAAGGGGCAAAUAGGUAAUCUAAGCUUGUAGUUCCUAAUUUUAAAAUUAAUUUAAUUUGUGGAAAUCAAUAGCAUUCAAUCACAAGACAAUUACAAGUGUAGCAAUUCUAAAGUUAUAUUCCAAAAUCAAAGAUAUUACCUCAUACUUGAAAUCUUCAAUUUAUCAACCUUCAUUACUUCAAUAAGUUAAUCCAAGUUCACUCAAACUAAAUAUUUAUAAUUAAUGUAUUAAAGCCUAAAUACAUGGUAACCCAUAUGAAGAAAAACUAAAGAUGAGAUCACCAUGACUUGUAGUAUCUGGGUUGUCAUCCCUAGGAUCCAUNNNNNNNNNNNNNNNNNNNNNNNNNNNNNNNNNNNNNNNNNNNNNNNNNNNNNNNNNNNNNNNNNNNNNNNNNNNNNNNNNNNNNNNNNNNNNNNNNNNNUCAUCCCUAGGAUCCAUAUGCUAGACUNUCAACAAAAAGCAAAUCGUCUAUCUACAUUGAAAAGGUCUAAAAGCAAAGUUUUUUUUAUGAAACUAAUUUUUUAUCACAUUGCUAUGGUGAAAAUAAUAAAAUCUAUAGUAAAAACUUUUGAAGAGUUCAAAAAUCUAAUUUUAGAUUCAUAGAUAGAGAUAGUAACUUUUAACCCUAAGACAAAGAUCAAAGUUCACCAGGAUUGAAUUAGAUCUUAAGAUCAAUCUACAUCUAGCAUUGAUAUUUAAAUUUAAGGCACUAUUCUCUUAAACAAAUUUAACAUGUCAUUAUUUCAAUUUUGAGUUUAUAUGCUUUCAUUACUGACAUCCAUCAUGUAUGUUUGAUUGCUAGAGUUUCUCUCAGUGGAUCAAAUCAAGUUGAGUAGUGAUCAAUGUAUCCCUAAACAUCACUAGCAUCAUAGUAAGAAUCCCUUAUACUUAACCUAUGCCAAAGCACGUAGAGGAUUAUUCUAAUUAAUUUAAACACAAAAUAUUUAUAAACAAACCAAAUGAAAUUUAACGUUCUAUUGCACAUCAUUCCUAUGAAUCAUCUAUCUUUAUGUUACUAUUAGAAAAACAACCCCUAGAUCUAGAUUAAAGAGUGCAUGCAACUAAAAUCCCAAGUGUAGUGGAAGAUGCCUAAUUUUUCAAAAACUUAUUUUAAGGUGUUCUUAAUAAACAUACUGUAGACCCUCCAUUUUGUCAUCAUAGCACAUAUCCUAUUACGUGUUCGUUUGGUACUUUACAAUAAUUCCUUGGUGGCCCAUUAGACACCACUUUGAAGACUUUGGUUGAGGGACUCAUCUGACCCCAUUGUGAUUCUAGGCCACCUUAGGCCCACUUAACCACUUUAGGCCCACUUAGACACCCUAGGCUCAUUUAGAUGCAUUCAGCCCAUUAGGAACAGCCUUAGGCCCACUUAGGCACCCUAGGCCCAUUUACUAUACUUGGCCCAUUAGGCACCACCUUAGGCCCACUUAGGCAUCCUAGGCCCAUUUAGAUACACUUGCCCCAUUAGGCACCGCCUUAGAUCCACUUAAGCACCCUAGGCCCAUUUAGACGCACUUGGCCCAUUAGGCACCCCUUUAGGCCCACUUAGGCACCCUAGGCCCAUUUAGACGCAUUUGGCCCAUUAGGCACCGCAUUAGUCCCACUUAGGCAUCCUAGGCCCAUUUAGAUACACUUGCCCCAUUAGGCACCGUCUUAGGCCCACUUAAGCACCCUAGGCCCAUUUAGAUGCACUUGGCCCAUUAGGCACCCCUUUAGGCCCACUUAGGCACCCUAGGCCCAUUAAGGCACCGCAUUAGUCCCACUUAGGCCCACUUAGGCAUCCUAGGCCCAUUUAGAUACACUUGCCCCAUUAGGCACUGCCUUAAGCCCACUUAGGCACCCUAGGCCCAUUUAGAUGCACUUGACCCAUUAGGCACCACUUUAGGCCCACUUAGGCACCCUAGGCCCAUUUAGAUGCACUCGGCCCAUUAAGCACCACCUUAGGCCCACUUAGGCACCCUAGGCCCAUUUAGAUACACUUGACCCAUUAGGCACCGCCUUAGGCCCACUUAGGUCACCUUUCAGGGAAUUUUUGCAUGUUUGCAUGGCUAGUAUGGAUUGCAUUUUUUGUAUGGCUUGCAUGACUUGCAUGACUCGUUUAUUAUAAAGUUGCAUGACUUGACUUUUUGUUAUUUUAUUUUUAUUUAUUUUAUUUACCGUCUUGUUUAUUUCUUCUUUUAUUUUAUUUUCCUAUUAUUUUGUCACUUUUUCGUAAUAUUUGUCCUUAUAUAUUUUAAUUUAAUAAGUUUGUUUAAAUGUUUUAUUAUUAUUAUUAUUGUUAUUAUUAUCAUUAUCAUUAUUAUUAUUAUUAUUAUUGUUCUUACUAUUAUUAUUACUUUUACUCAUUUUUUUUAUCAUGAUUAUUAUUAUUACUUUAUUUUAUCUAUUGCCUUUAAAAUUUUCCAAGGAAGUACACCAAUGGAAAGAUUUAAGAGAGUAGCAGUUGUUGGAAUUUUUAUGUGUGGGCUUAUAUAAUCAAUUUGAUAAUGUCAUAAAUUAGUGUUAAUUUAAUUUUUGCAUUGUGGUCCAUAAUAAGGCUGGAUACAUUGUUGUUUGAUUUUUUAUGGGCUCACCCUAAUUCACUUGACUGGCCCAUUAAGUCAAGUAGUCCAAAUAAUGUGUAAUAUAUAUAUAUAUAUAUAUAUAUAUAUAUAUAUGUGCAUUUGGAAGGGGUCUCAUUUCUUCUUCUUGGAGAGCACGCACUGCACGCACACACACACUUGGACUGAAUUUUAGGAGAAAAGGGAAAAGCUCAUUGAACCCUAAUUCUCGUACCAUCACGCACCUGGAGCAACUUCUUGGAUACCAGUGGAGGAAGAAAUGGCUUUUCAUGGCAUAAACCAAGGUAACCAGCUCAUUUUUUGUCGUUCAAUGCAUGCUUAAAUGUUAACAUGUGAUCCUAUGCUAUUUCAAUUCUCUUCAAUUGGUAUCAGAGCUAGCAUGGAUGACAUUUGAGCUACAAUUUUGGGUUUUUUUUUUUUUUUUUUGGUUUCUCGUUUUCUGGUUAUGGAAGCCAUUUUUUUUUGGGCUUCUUUUCGUUUGGUGUUUAUUCUUGGUUUUCAAGCCCGAUUAAGGUUGGAGACUUGUAUAGAAUAUUGUUUGGAUCAAAACCCAUCAUUUUUGUGGUUUUUGGAGCUCAUUUGAUGAGAUUUCGAAAAUCAGGGCUUAUUUUGGUUCUUCCUAUUAUGCGUUUUUUUGUGCAUUUUUGGGUUUAGAUUGAAGGAUUGAUAUUUGAGGAUGGAAAUCUAUGUGUUUUUGUCAAAAAAAAAUGCGCAAAAUUUUGGGCAAUUUUUUUUUUCUUUCUUCUCCAAAACUAGGGCAUGUUCAGUUGGAGAAAAAAAUGAACAGGCCCCUACUGAUGUCAUGAUGACGUCAUUAAAAAAAAAACAAAAUCUUUUUUGGUUGCCUUGGUAUUCUUGGAUUGAUUAUGCAUAUGUUAGAAUUAUUAUGCAUUUGUUAAAUUUGACUUUAUUGGAACAAUUAUUGUUAUUAUUGUUUUUUUUGGUAUAAUUUUUAUCUUUAUAUCUUAUACCAAUAAUGUUGUCCAAGGUCAUUUUUGCUAAAUAUUUAAAUUUAUUAUGGCAAUAAAUAACACUUGUGUGAUUGCCUAUCACAAUUCCAAGUGUGUCAAGUUGCGCAAAUCAAAUAUUUGAGUUUAUAAUGACAAUAGUGAACAUAUAUGUGGUUGCCUAUCGUGAUCCUAUAUGUGUCAAAUUGUCUUUGUUGAGAUAUUUUAACUCCCACUUUUAGUUUCUUUAUUAUUGUGAUUACUAAGAUCCAUAUGGGUAUUGUAAUUGUCCUAUCGAUGAUAAUAAUACUUAGUAGGAUGCUUAGAUUGGUGAAGGAAAUUAAUUGUAUAUUAUGAACCGUACUAAUUUUAUUUGCCCUUUCGGUAAUAAAAUUAGUACAUCUUGGUUGUGAUAUUUAAUUAAUUAUUCUUACUGCCGUGGAAUUUUAAAAAUUCCAAGCUAUUGCUAAAUUAAGAAAUUCUGGAAACUAGCAAAUGCAUGAUAUUGUAAUAACAUGCAUAUUGCUGAAUUUUGCUACUUUCUAGCUACUAGCAAUCCUGGUAUUACUCUUUAAUUGUCUGCCAUCAAACUUCUUACUGGAAAUAAUUUUGAAGAACGCUUUGAGUCUUUCAAUGUGCAUAUGACUCUACAUAAUCUUGACUUGACUUUGAGGGUUGAUGAGCCAAGUAGGCCCACUGAUGUGAGCUCUGUAGAUGAAAGAUCAUUUUAUGAAAGAUGGGAGCACUCCAAUAGGAGUUGUUUGAUGGUGAUGAAAUACACUAUGGAUAAAUCUAUCAAAGAAUGCGUGCUAAAGACGAAAAGGGCCAAAGACUUCUUGGAAUAUGUGAAGGCCAAUUAUACGAAAAUUGAUAAGGCAUAAAUGACAACUUAUUUGAAGCUUCUCACAACCACUGUGUAUGAUGGAGUAGGUGGGGUUAGAGAUCACAUCAUCAAGUUAAAGCACUACUUCAACAAGGCAAAUGAUAUGAAAGUGGAGUUGGGUGAAAAAUUCUUGAAAUGGUUGAUACUUGAGUCUUUUCCUGUUUCCUUUGAUGCAGUGAAGUUGACUUACAAUGCCUUGAAGGAAGAAUGGACUCUAGAGGAGUUGAUGUCCCAUUGUGGUGCAACAUGAAGUAUCACUGAAGAAAAAUGAGACUCACUCCCUUGCUCCUGUUAUUGAGCAAGUCAGUAAUAUGAAGAAAAAACCUUCACACAAGAAUUUUGGAGGCUUUAAGCAGUUCAAGAGGGAAGGGAAUUCAAAUCAAGGAACCUCUAAUGCAUCUGUUUCUUCUAAUACUGCAAAGAGUGAUUAAUUCAAGGGGAAGUGCAACUUUUGCCACAAGAUUGGCCACAAGCAGGCUGAUUGCUUCAAGUUUAAAAAUUGGCUAGAGAAGAAAAAGAAAUAUGAAAUUUCAGUUAUGGUUAAUUUGAAUGCAAACAUGAUUGAGACUGAUAUUGUUGAUGUUCAUACCAAUUCUUGGUGGUUAGAUACCGGUGCCACUAUUCAUGUCACUAAUUCUUUGCAGGAGAUGACAAACAAAAGGAGGUCAUCAAAGCAUGAAGAAAGUGUGUAUAUGGGUGAUGGAAGCAAAGUGAAAGUGGAAUUUUUUGACAUGAUAAAGCUAAGGUUGAUCACAUAAAGUUUUUUGUUGUUACACAAUGUGACUUUCAUACCCUCACUUCGAAGGAAUCUGAUUUCUUUAUCUAUUUUGGAUAGACAUGGUUAUUUUUUUCACUUUGGAGGUGGAAAAGUGGAUAUUUUUAGCAACUCAGUCUUAAUUGACAAUGAUGUUUUGUUUGGAAAUCUUUAUAGUCUCAGUUUUCAUCAUGGUUCUUUAUGUGAUUCAUCUUCUGUUAAUUAUGAUGUUGGCUGCAAGCAUGCUAUAAUGAAUUUGAGUUCUUCCAUGUUGUGGCACAAACGCCUGGGUCAUAUUUCUAGGCAAAGAUUAGAGAGAUUGGUUAAAGAUGGUGUGCUUUCUAAUCUUGAUUUCUCAGACUUCGAGACUUGUGUUGUUUGCUUAAAAGGGAAGAUGACAACAAAGACUAGAAAUGAGAAGAUUGAUAGGUGUGGAGGCACUUUAGAUUUGAUCCACACAGAUAUAUGUGGUCCUUUGACACCAAUUGCUUUAGGGGGUUAUAAAUAUUUCAUCACUUUUAUUGAUGAUUUCUCUAGAUAUGGUUAUGUUGAACUAAUCCAUGAGAAAUCUGACUCCCUAAAUGUGUUUAAAGCCUUUAAGUCUAAGGUGGAGUUGCAGUUGGGAAAGCCCAUUAAAGCUGUGAAGUUUGAUAGAAGUGGUGAGUAUUAUGGGAGAUAUGAUGAGACUGGACGGAAUCAUGAACCAUUCGCUAAGUUUUUGUUGGAAUGCGACAUUGAUGCUAGAUAUACAAUGCCAGGCACUCCUCAACAAAAUGGAGUUGCAGAAAGGAGGAAUCACACAUUAUUAGAUAUGGUGAGGUGCAUGUUGUCUAAUUCCUCAUUGCCAUAAUUUUUGUGGGGUGAAGCCUUAAAUAUUGCGGCAUAUAUUUUGAAUCAAGUGCCCAGUAAGUCUGUGCCUAAGACACCUUAUGAGCUAUGGUCAGGGAAGAACCCAAGUCUUCAUUAUUUCCAUGUUUGGGGAUGUAAGGCUGAGGUUAGGCCCUAUAACCCACAAUCAAAGAAACUUGAUCUAAAACCAUUAGUGGUUUCUUUGUUGGCUAUUACAUUGGAUCAAGGGGUUUCAGAUUUUAUUGUCCAUCUCAUACCACCAGGAUCAUUAAGUCAGAUAGGGUUGUAUACUUUGAGGAUGAAGUUAAUGCUGAUCCAAAUUUUAUGCCUCGUGAGAUACCUUUUGGAGAAGAGCAUGUUGUGAUUCCUUUUCCUACGUCUCAUGUUCCAAAUGUGGAUGUUCCUAUUGUCCAAUAGCCAGCCACUAAUCAAGGAGAGCAUGGUGAUCAAGUGGAACCUGACAUUCCUGUUGAUGAUAAUGUUGUUGAUGGGGUUCCUUUGAGAAGAUCAUAAAGGGUUCGUAGGCUGGCUAUUUCAAAUGAUUACAUGAUUUAUUUGCAGGAGCAUGAGUAUGAUGGUUAUGAUGCUUCUGAUCCAGUCACUUAUCAAGAAACAAUUCAUUGUCCUCAAUUCACUUCUUGGAAAAAAGUCAUGGAUGAUGAAAUGAACUCUAUGUAUAUGAAUGGUGUUUGGGAUUUGGUGGAAUUGCCACAUGGUUGUAAACUAGUUGGAUGCAGUGGGUAUUUAAGACCAAACGUGAUUCUAGCAGGCAAAUAGAGAGAUAUAAAGCUAGACUUAUGGUUAAAGGUUAUAGUCAAAGAGAAAGAAUUGAUUUCAAAGAAACCUUCUCACCUGUGUCGACCAAGGACUCUUUUAGAGUGAUUAUGGCCAUAGUACCUCAUUUUGAUUUGGAGGUACAUCAGAUGGAUGUCAAGACACCUUUCUUGAAUGGUGAUUUGGAUGAGGACGUGUAUAUGGAGCAACCUACUGGUUUUGCAGAAGUUGGAAAGAAAGAUUUAGUUUGCAAGCUUAAUAAGUCCAUUUAUGGUCUUAAACAGGCUUCGAGGCAGUGGUAUCUGAAGUUUGAUAGGAUUAUCACCCAAAAUAGUUUUAAAGAGAAUACUAUUGAUAGAUGCAUAUGUUUGAGGGUCAGUGGGAGUAGUUGCAUAUUUCUUGUUUUAUAUGUUGAUGAUAUACUACUCGCAUCAAAUGAUUCUGACUUGUUGAUUGAGACAAAGCACAUGUUGUCAACCCAUUUUGACAUGAAGGAUCUUGGUGAGGCUUCUUAUGUUUUGGGCAUAAAGAUUCUUUGUGAUAGGGCUAAUGGAGUGCUUAAAUUGUCUCAAAGAACCUAUAUUGAGAAGAUAUUGAAGAGGUUCAAUAUGCACAACUGUAGAUCUUCUAAAGUGCCAAUUGUGAAGGGUGAUAAGUUUUCAAAGGCUCAGUGUCCUCAAAAUGAUGAUGAGCGAGAGGAAAUGAGAACCAUUCCUUAUUCAUCUAUGGUUGGUAGCCUUAUGUAUGAUCAAGUAUGUACACGCCCUGAUAUUGCUUUUGUUAUGGGCAUGUUGGGAAGGUACUUGAGCAAUCCUGGGUGUCAACAUUGGAAAGCCGCUAAGAAGGUCCUUAGGUAUUUGCAAGGAACUAAGGACUUAAUGUUGACAUAUCGGCACACCAGUUUACUUGAUGUAGUUGGGUUUUGUGAUGCUGGUUUUGCUGGCUGCAUAGAUGAUAAGAAAUCCACUAUGAGCUAUAUUUUUAUGAUGGCAGGAGGAGAUGUAUCUUGGAAAAGUGUCAAGAAAACACUUACAACAUCCUCAACUAUGGAGGCGGAGUGUGUGGCAUGUUAUGAGGCUUGUUGUCAUGUUAUAUGGAUGCGGAAUUUUAUUUCAACUUUGGGAGUUGUUGACUCCAUUUCUAAACCGUUGAAAUUAUUUGUGAUAAUUUCACAGAUGUUGCUUUCUCUAAGAACACUCUAAGUAUUUCUUGUUCCAAACAAAUUGAUGUAAAGUUAUAUUUUGUUAAGGAGAAAGUGCCAAAGUUUCUUAUUGAUAUUGAACACAUGUUCAUAAAAAGUAUAUUGGCGGAUCCAUUAACAAAACGCUUACCCAUAAUUGUGUUUCAGGAACAUGUAUCUCAAAUGGGGUUGUUGGAAGCCUAGGUUGUAUUAAGUUAGUGGGAGCCACUUUUGGUAUUGUAAUAUUAUGCUAUUGUUGGAAGGAUUGCUAUUAUUGUAUAUUUCCCUAUGAAUCAAGUAAUGAAGCAUAUAUGAUUGCUUUUGAUUAUUUGUUUUUGAUGAGAUUCUAUGGGACAUUGAUUUAUGAUUAUGUAUAUGUUGUGAUGUUUGAUUAUGUAGUCCAAGUGGGAGAAUUGUUGGAAUUUUUAUGUGUGGACUUACAUAAUCAAUUUGAUAAUAUCAUAAAUCAAUGUUAAUUUAAUUUUUGCAUUGUGGUCCAUAAUGGGAUUUGACACAUUAUUGCUUGAUUUUUUAUGGGCUCACCCUAAUUCACUUUACUAGCCAUUAAGUCAAGUAGUCCAAAUAAUGUGUGUAAUGUGUAAUAUAUAUAUGAAUUUAUUUACAUAUAUAUAUAUAUAUAUAUAUAUAUAUAUAUAUAUAUAGAUAUAUGUGCAUUUGGAAGGGGUCUCCUUUCUUCUUCUUGGAGAGCACACACUGCACGCACACACACACUUGGACUAAAUUUUGGGAGAAAAAGGAAGAGCUCAUUGAACCCUAAUUCUCGUAUCAUCACGCACCUAGAGCAGCUUCUUGGAUACCAGUGGAGGAAGAAAUGGCUUUUCAUGGCAUAAACCAAGGUAACCAGCUCAUUUUUUGCCGUUCAAUGCAUACUUAAAUGUUAACAUGUGAUCCUAUGCUAUUUCAAUUCUCUUCGGCAGCUGCACCACCAUAGAGGAAUUUUAGAGAGGUUUUUUAUAAUUAUGAUUUUCGGUGGAGAAUAUGCAUGUGAAGACUUUUUCACAUGAUGGAUGCAUAGAUGGACUUUGCCAGUGGGGCUUCAUGAUAUAUGGAAAUUCUGGCACACCACGACUGCAUAUGGAAAUUAAAAAAAAAAAAAAAAAACACUACUGCAAAUGAGAAAAGGCAUUACGCAUCUUGAGAAGAGGUUUAGAUUCAUCCAUGGUGAGGUGUCAUUUCCAAGCUGGUGGAGUCAAUAGAACGUUUAUGGGAAGUAAGGUUGUGAUUUUUUAGAAAAUGGAGAAUCAGUCCGGUGAGCAUAGCGAGAUUCCCUUCUGAAAGAAAAAUUUCCAUAGUUGGUUUUGGCAAGUGAAAAGAGCAGGAUGCAGCGUGUAUGUAGACAGAGAGUGAGGUCGUGUUCAAGGAAAAGAGGGAGAUGCAGCCGCAUGAUUGAGAGGAAAGAAAAAUGAUUUUCGGCACGUGGAGGAGAAGAAUAACAGGCUGGUGGAGGAAUUAAUAUGACUUUUGGGGAAGAUACAGAGAACGUUUUGAAAGACAUGACACUAAUUUUGGGUGAGAUAUUCAUCGCUCUAUUCAAAAAGGAAGAGAGAAAGGUGCAGCCGCAGGAUUAAGGGGAAAAAAGAGAUCAGUCGAGCACCAUUCUGGAGGGUGAAAAGGUACAGUUGCACCAUUGGAAGGGAGAAAGAAACGACCGCACCAAAGAAAGAAGAGAAGGACACACUUUGAAAGAUUUGUGAAAGAAGAUAUUGAGAGAUGUUCUAGGGAGGACAAAGGCUGGUCUUGAGAGAUAUUUUGGCCCCAAGUUUGAUGAUAUUGAGAUCGUGAGAUUAUGAGGAAUUCAAGCCAUGUUUGGAACCUUGUUUUGGAAGAGACUCAGGUAGUUUUUAGAAGGGUUUUACUGUUUUAGGCUACAAUCUGGAAAGUUUUUGGCCAUAAUCUGGAGGUGCACUCCAGGUCGUGUUUGGGAGAGUAUUCAGGCCACUUUCUAAGGCAGUUCAAGACGCAUUUUAGGAAAGGAUAUCGUUGAAAGAUGAUGGAGAGGGGAGCAUGACGAUUAGGAGCGUGAGUGAGAUCGAUUGGGAGAGAAGAGAGAGUUGGGUCAUACCAUAAAAGGCUUCGAGAAGCACUACUGCAUCAGGGAGCCACACCAUCAAAGGGGAUAGAAAAGGAGAACCAACUUCACUACUCAAGGGUUGGCUUGGCUCGAUCAUUCACCGAUCACCAUAACAAGAAAACACCAGUAAGGCCGUAUUGAUCAUCAUCAAAUCGAAAAUUCCAGAUUUAUGUCCAUACUUUCAACAUCAAUUCCUUGCUGCAACCUACAGCUACAUGACCUCCACAGACUGCACCCACCGCCAGUCCAUUCACAAAGCAUAAACCCAUCGAUUCCGACAAGUAGAGAGGUGCAGUCACACCGUUGAGAUAAGGAAAGAGUGCAGUCGCACCAUUGAACUUCCGCGGGAGGCACGACUGUCCGAAGAGCAAGCACCAGUCAACAAGAAAUGAAGUAGCCGCACCAUUACAUGUGAGAGACGUAGCCGGCUAGGGUGAGCAAGGAACAGACGGUGGGUUGCAUAUUGGAUUCCAAAAGAAGUGUAGCUGCACCAUUGUGAGAGAGGAGUGUUUUUUGAUGAACUAAAGUUGGAUGAUGCAAGCCUCGGGAAUGAACUUUGUGAAGUAGAUGGAUGGCAGCUUUUCUGUUAAUGGGGAUGCAUCUGGGUUUUGUUAAUGGAGUGGGGAACACACGUGCUAGAUUAUUGAGAGGGUGGUCUUUGAAUAUAACAAGAGAAUACACGCUGUCAAGGGGAAUUUCUCUCCAUUAACGUGCAGUGCUUUGGGAACUAUGCAGUGCAUUGGCAGUCAUCACACCAUGCAUCCUUGGAAUUGAUUUUAAAAAUCCUACUUGCACUUUGGUGGAAGGUGGCCCAUACGUUUAUGAAAAGGUAAGUUAAUUCUUUUUAUUUUAGUCUUGAUUCAUGAAUAUCCAAUUCAAUUCAUAGUUGUUUUAUAAUUUUAGCUAUUUAGUUUAAUUAUUUCCAAUAUCAAUAUAUUCAUGCUAUCAAUUUAUUAAAUUUAGUUUUAAAUUAUUCCCAUUUAGCCUAUGUAUUUUAAAUUUUUUAUUUAUUUAUUUUUCUAGUUUAAUUAAUCUUAUGUGGUUAUAUUCAUGUUUUCAAGUUAUUAAAUUUAGUUUUGAUUGAUUAUGUUCAGCUUCAAAGUUUCGAGGUUUUUUUAGUUGUUAAUUUUGAAUAGCUAGGUCAGUGUGUGCAUUUCAUAAAAUCAUUUGCUAUUAACUUUAAGUAUCCCUAUUAAUUUAUACUGCUCCUUAAAUUAUUAGUUUUUAGUUUUGAUUGACUCAUAAAUUUGUGUUGUCCUUAAAAUUAUUAAAUUUUUUUUAUCGAUCUAUGUUGAUUUUCAUUUUUUCUCAGAAUCCUUAGUCGUUGAUUUUAAAGAUCCAUGUUAAUUUAUAUUCGUCUCUAAGCAAUAAUUAAUUCUUGAAGAUCUAUGCCUUUAUAUGUUGUUCUUUAAAUUAUUAUAUGUUGUUUUGGCGAUCUAAAUUUUGGUAUCCAUCUAAUUGUGUAACGACACGAUAUAUUUAAGAAUUCUUGAUUGAUUAUUUUUUGUUUUGAGUUUUGAUUUUUAUUGAGAACUUUAACUAAAUAAGUUAAUUAUUAUCGACUCGAUUCUAAGUUUCUGUUUUUAAUUUAUUGAGUUUAAAUUUAAAAAUUUAUUUAAUUGCAUGGAUUACCAUUGUAUGGAUUCCAAGUUUUGAUUUUUCUAGGUUACGUUUUUAGGAUUAUAGGUUAUUAUUCUUAUUAGACCAUUUGAUUAAAUCCAUGUUUUAAAUUUUUUUAGCUUUAGUAUUGAUUGACCCAUAAAUUUGAGUUGCCUUUAAAAUUAUUAAUUUUUAUCGAUCCAUGUUGAUUUUUAUUUUUCCCAGAAUCCUUAGUAGUUAAUUUUAAAAAUCCAUGUUAAUUUAUAUUCGUCUCUAAGCAAUAAGUUAUUGAUUUUUUAUGAUUUAUGCCAUUAUAUGUUGUUGUUUUGGUGAUCUCGAUGACGUUUAUUAUUUCUUUGAAACUAAGUUGAUAAUUUGUGAUAAUCUCGUAUUAUUAGUUUCAUUCUAAAACUCAUUUAUAAGCUAUUGAUUGAUUUAUCUUAAGUUUAAAUGCAUUUAAAGUUCCAACGGUUAGUUCUUGAUCGAUAUCUGGUGAUCUUGCUUAAGGCCAUUGGAAAAUCAUGAAGAUUGGCCUCUACUCUCACCUUUAUCAUUUUUGUUGAUUAUUAAAAAAGUUUACUUUGUGAUUUCGUUUUCUUUUGUUUUGCUUGAUAUUUUGUUUCCUACAUUCUGUUGUUUUUCAAAUUAAUUUCUUUUAUUUUAAAGUAAAAAUACUUUUUCUCAUAAGAUCCCUUUGAAAAUCUAUUUUAAAAAUUCAUUUAGAGUGUUUAGAAUUAAAAUCACAUUUUCUUUUCAAAUAAUAUGCAACCAUGUUUUGAUUGGUUCGCAUCUUUCUCGGUUUUCAAUAAAAAUUAUGGUUUCGAGUAAGACAUAAAUCCAAGCUAGUGGUCCUAAAUAAAUGGGAUAAUUCUAGGCUAGAUUUAUGUAUAUCAAUCGGGGAAUUGGUGAAACCCCUACAUAAAAUUAUUUUUUUAAAACUCAUCUUUGCUGCCACCUUUGCUAUUGAUUGCAAUCAUAUCUAUUUUUUUUAGAAAUUAUAUACAAGAUGUAUGUAAUAAUUGAUGAUUUCGUAUACUUUGAUCAUUUUUGCUAUGCUAAUUAGAUAACAAUCAUGCUAAGAUUUCUUUAUUUUAUUAUUUAUUAUCUAACCCCUCAUGUUUUGCGAAAGCACAUUACAAGUUAUCUAUACUAUCCAGGUACACCCCCUAUCACCUACCUUCUAAAUUACGUAAAUAUGAUUGUCAGUACGAACCACACCUAUGUUUGAUAGUGCUUAGGUGUCUUGAUAUAUAUGUUUCAUUGUUCGAUUAUUUAUGAUAAAACGCAUGUUGGAUGAUAUACUAUUUGAACUAAUUUUGAUGUCUUGUGAUAGCGCUUAAGAAGCAGCCUAGGUACACACCCUAAAUCUUCUUUAUGAUUGUCAUUGGUUUUCUUGUUUGGCAUGCUAUUUUUUGAAAUCACCUUGUUUACCUAAGCACCCUUAAUCAACCAAUUAAUUGUCGCAUUUCCCUCAACUUAGUCAAUAGAGACCUUUGUAAGGCUUAGAGGGGUGCUACAUUUUUAGAGGUACCUUCCCAAUAGGUAACCUAAUCCCUGGACCUAGACUCGGGUUUUUCAAAGACACGUUUUUCCAAAAAUUAUGGAGUCUCUUUUUCAGGGUUUUUUUUUCUUGGUCUAUUUUCCUUUUUAAAAUAAAAUAAAAUAAGUGGCGACUCCGACUUUUUCCAAAACUAAAAUUUUCACCAAUAGAAGCGAGUCUCGCUAAUCGAGUGGGGACGCAUGUGAAAAAUGCGGAUCCACACAUACCCUUGGAUUCGAAUGUUCCCAAAUCUUUUUCCCAAUUUGUAGUAGAAAUCUCAAAUUCAUUUUGAUCUUCUACUUGAUGACUCUCUCUUGGAUCUUGGCUAUAAAUAAGUGUGGAACUCUAUUUAGAGGAAGUGUUGUUUAUGAUUUUUCUCCAAACAAAAUAUAAGAUAGCAGUUAGUCUAACGCUAAACCCUAAGAGGGUUUAUACAACCUCUUAAUUGGGUUUAAGUGACUAAGGCUAAUCAUAUAGGCUUAAGUUGUUUAAUCUUAGCCUAGUGAGUUUUAUUUAAUAAAUUAUCCUAAAUGGCUUCAAUUAAUUAAAUAGAUUAAAAAGAAAACCCAUAAGUCAUUUAAUCAUAAGUCCUUGUACAACCUUUGCUAAUACAAAAGCAUCCUUAUGCAUACUCAUAAUUAAGUACUAAAAAACACUCUCAAUAAAUGCCACCAAAAAGUGUGAGCUUUAGUCGGACCACCAGAACCCAUUGGAAAGUAUGUACUAGCUCUCUUAGAAUCAAAUUCUAAAAUUGACUCAACAUUCCAUUAAAGAGAGUCAAUUGCACUCCAAUAUCUUAUGAUAUUAGAUUGAGAUAUAAAACUUGGGUCCAUGACUUACUAUCCACUAUAUGUAAGUUCCCCAUAAACUAAUGAUUGUAAUCCAAAAAAUGUAGUAGUUAUCAACCUUUAAAGAUCACCUUUCACUCCUUGAGUCUUAAAUCCUCCUAUACCAUGACAAUUAAACAUACUCUAGUCCACAAAGGAUAUAUGUCAAAUUUCAUUGAAGAAAUUGCUAUAGCCAUAUACACUACAUGAUCUGAAAUCCUUGGGAUCGUCCAAGGGGAUACAUUGUCUCAAAUCCAUGAGAUAUUAUAGUGUCUCUAUUGAUCAUAAUAUCUAUUGUUACUUGCCAAAACCGUCGGUCACCCAAUCCUUUGGGAAUAUAUGAUCACUUUAGGAUUUCACCCAUAGGUCAAAGUAAUUGAUGACCUCGACAUUAGCAUAAUAUUAUCUAAAGGUUGAGAACCCAUGCAAUUAAUAUUUGGUAGUUUGGAGAAGUUAUGACAACCCAAUAAUCAUUAGUCAUUGUUGGAAAUCAAGCCCACGUCGCCUUCCUGCCUGUGCAUGUUCCUCCCCAUAUUUAGCAUCCUCUGUUUACUUCCCUGAAUUAGUGUAAUGUACAGCUUUUAUUAUAAUUGAUUUAGGAGUAAUUCUAGCAAGGUAGUUUAUUCACUUUCCAUGUAAGGGAAAUUUCGUCCGGUGAUAGUGUACCAUUCCAGAAUUGUCUCAUAUCUGUAGGCUAUUUAUUUAUGCUUUCAUUCAUUGUAAAAAAAAAAAAAAGGUAUCACAGAAUAAAUUGAGUUUGUGUUCCUCCAUAGUUUGUCUUCAAAUUCUUCAUAUUUUAGUCUUCAAAUUCUUCAUGGUAUCAGAGCAGGUUUAAUCCUGUCUCAUCGUCUUCAUCUUUAGUUAGUAUUUUUUUUCUUACUCAAUUCAUUCUUCUAGUUUAUGCCUAAAUACGGUCCAACCUUUGGAAUGGCUACCAACUCAUCAUCCUCUACUUCUGAUAUCAUCAUCUCAUCGUCUUCAUCCUCUCAUCAGAUGGAAACCUCUCAUCUUCCAAUCACAGCCCAUAAACUGAAUGGGCAAAAUUAUUUGCAAUGGUCUCAGUCCAUAUUAAUGUUUAUACGGGGAAAGGAGAAAGAUGACUACAUCACCGGAGCUUCGGCGGCACCAGAAACCAUAGCAUCAACCUACAAAAAGUGGAUAGCAGAAAAUAAUAUGGUCAUGUCCUGGCUAGUCAACUCUAUGACCAUUGACAUUGGUGAAAAUUUUCUGUCAUUUGAUACUGCCAAAGAAAUCUGGGACAUUGCAAAAGAAACUUUCUCAGACAAGGAAAACACAUCUGAAAUCAUCCAGAUUGAAGGCAUCUUCCACGAUUUGCGUCAAGGAAACCUUACGGUAACUGAAUAUUUCAAUACUCUUACUCGUCUAUGGCGUCAACUUGAUACGUUUGAGGUUCAUAACUGGAAUUGUGUUACAGAUGGUUUGUUGUAUAAAAAGAUUGUCGAAGGGAAACGUGUGUUUAAAUUUUUGUUAGGCUUGAACAAAAAUCUUGAUGAAAUCAGAGGAAGAAUCAUGGGAGUAAAACCUCUACCUAGCCUCAGAGAGGCAUUCUCUGAAGUCCGUCGCGAAGAAAGUCGGAAAAAUCUCAUGAUGGGAUCCCAUCAACAACUGAAUAUGGCAGAAAGCUCGGCUCUUAAGACUCAAUUCGCUCCUUUUGACAACCGUAAAAAAAUUAAAGGAGGUAGACCUUGGUGUGAUCAUUGCAGAAAGCCGGGGCACUCAAGAGAAACUUGCUGGAAGAUUCAUGGAAAGCCAGUAGAUUGGAAGCCACAUCAACCACUUGAGAAAGAAGGACGAGGCAAUCAUGUGGCUACCGAUGAACAAUCGCCACAACCUGAAGCUAGCCCUUUUAAUAAGGAGCAAAUGGAGAUGCUUCAGAAACUACUGUCUCCUCUUUUGUCAGUACAGUCACAAACUGGCUCAUCUUCCAACCAAGUCAUUGGUUCCGGAACCUUGGCUCACAAAGGUAAUUUUUUGAGUGCCUUCACUGCUAGUAAGAAACGUAAAAAACCUUGGAUCGUGGACUCAGGAGCAUCUGAUCAUAUGACGGGAGAUGCGACAAUUUUUUAUACAUAUAGCUCAUUUCCAAAUAAUUUAACAGUCCGAAUAGCAGAUGGUUCACUAUCAAAGGUUGCCGGAACAGGUUCAGUUGUGUUAUCAAGGGAUCUUACUCUCAACUCUGUUCUCCUUGUUCCUAACUUGGACUGUAAUCUAUUGUCAAUUAGUAAACUCACUAAGGAAAAGAGGUGUAUUACUAAUUUUUCCUCCACUCCAUGUGAAUUUCAGGAUUUGGAUUCGGGGAAGACGAUUGGCAAUGUUGAGAAAUGCUCUGGACUCUACAUCCUUAAGGAGCACCACGAUCCACAAGAACAACCUCAAAUGAUAGUUGGUAGUAAUUCUAUUUCGGUUUCAUGUCAAAAUAACGAUAGUGCAAUUAGGUUGUGGCACUAUCGCUUAGGUCAUCCAAAUGUUAUGUAUCUCAAGCAUUUAUUUCCUUCAUUAUUUAAUAAAAAUCCAAAAUCCUUUGAGUGUGAAAUCUGUCAAUUAUCAAAACAAGUCCGGUCUCAUUUUCCCAUUCAACCCUAUAAAGAGUCUAGUCCAUUCUCAAUGAUUCAUAGCGAUAUCUAGGGUCCGUCAAGAAUAAAAAAUGUAACUGGUACUAGGUGGUUUGUCUCUUUCAUAGAUGAUCACACUAGAUUAACUUGGGUAUUCCUCAUGAAAGAAAAAUCUGAAACGAGUCAAAUUUUCAAAAAUUUUAAAAAUAUGAUUCAGACCCAAUUCCAGUCAAAAAUACAAAUUCUAAAGUCUGAUAAUGCUAGGGAUUAUUUCAACUCCAUUCUAGGAGAAUUUCUAGCAUAAGAAGGGAUAGUUCACUUAAGUUCAUGUGUUGAUACCCCACAACAAAACGGAAUCGCUGAAAGGAAAAAUAGGCAUUUGUUAGAGGUGGCUAGAUCACUAAUGUUCUCCAUGAAUGUUCCAAAAUUAUUCUGGGGGCAAGCUGUCCUUACGGCAGCCUACCUCAUCAAUAGGAUGCCGUCUAGGGUACUAAAAUUCCAAACACCUUGUCAAACACUCCUAAAAUCCUUUCCGACUACUCGUCUCAUCUCCACCAUCCCACCCAAAAUUUUCGGGUGCUCUGUCUUUGUUCAUAUCAAUCAACAACAUAGAAGUAAACUUGAUCCUAGGUCACUCAAGUGCAUCUUUCUUAGGUAUUCUUCAAAUCAAAAAGGGUAUAAGUGUUACUCUCCGGUCACAAGAAAAUUCUACAAUUCAAUGGAUAUCACCUUUUUUGAAACCCAGCCUUACUAUCCUAAAAAUGAUAUUCAAGGGGAGAAUUCAACUCAGGAAUAUCAAUUUUGGGAUCUUGAGUCAUUCAAUGAGUCACCCAUCACCACUGAAAAUCACAUUCCUCUAGAGUCAUUUAAUCAGCCCGAGUCCAUUGUUGACUUAUGGGAUAAGGAGCACAUCCAAGAGGAAACGGAGGAAAGAGCACUUUCUCAACAAACCCAUGAGGCUGAACUGGGUCCUAAUCCAAGCAAACUUCCAAGUAACAACGCUCCUGAUGGUACUGUUGAUUCCGAGUUAGAAAAUGAUAUUCUUAAUAUGCCCAUAGCUUGGAGGAAAGAAGUUAGAUCAUGCACUCAGCAUCCCAUUGGAAAUUUUAUUUCUUAUGAUAAGCUAUCACCUACGUUUCGUGCAUUCACUUCUAGCAUCACAGAGAUACAAGUUCCUCAGAAUAUUCAGGAAGCUUUCAAGUAUCCUAAGUGGAAGGCGGCAGUCGAUGAGGAAGUUCGGGCGCUGGAAAAGAAUGGUACGUGGGAAAUUACUAACCUCCCAAGAGGUAAGAAACCAGUUGGGUGUAAGUGGAUUUUCACAGUAAAGUACAAGGCAGAUGGUAAUGUGGACAGGUAUAAGGCUCGGUUGGUCGCCAAAGGAUUCACCCAAUCCUAUGGCAUUGACUAUCAAGAAACUUUUGCUCCAGUUGCCAAGCUCAAUUCUGUUCGUGUACUUUUAUCCUUGGCAGCUAAUCUCGAUUGGUCGCUUCACCAACUUGAUGUGAAGAAUGCCUUCCUCAAUGGUGAUUUAAAGGAAGAAGUUUACAUGGACAUUCCUGUUGGACUUGAGACGACAUCAAAUUUCAACAAGGUUUGCAGACUCCGAAAAUCCUUGUAUGGUCUCAAACAAUCUCCCAGGGCUUGGUUUGAACAGUUCACUAAGGUAGUGAAAGGGUACGGAUUCGUUCAAUGUCAAUCCGAUCACACAUUAUUUGUGAAACACUUCCCAGAAGGGAAGCUGGCAAUUAUCAUUGUAUAUGUGGACGACAUAAUUUUGACAGGUGAUCAUGAAGAGAAAAUUGACUUACUUAAAAAAUUAUUGACAAAGGAAUUUGAGAUCAAGGAUCUUGGAACCCUCAAGUACUUUCUCGGAAUGGAGAUUGCUAGGUCAAAGAAAGGUAUAGCAGUCUCACAACACAAAUACGUUCUGGACUUAUUGAAUGAAACAGGAAUGCUAGUAUGCAAGCCGGCAGAAACACCUAUGGAUACAACUGUCAAACUGGAAGAAAGUGAUGGAAGUGUGCCAGUUGAUAAAGGAAGAUAUCAACGUCUUGUGGGGAAACUCAUCUAUCUUUCUCAUACAAGGCCAGACAUCGGCUUCUCCGUUAGUGUGGUAAGUCAAUUCAUGAAUAAUCCAACCGAAAAACACAUGACUGUUGUGAUCAGAAUAUUGAGGUACCUCAAGAUGACACCGGGAAAGGGUCUCUUCUUUCAAAGAACAACAAAGAAAGAGAUUGAGAUUUUUUCAGAUGCAGAUUGGGCAGGUUUAGUGACUGAUCGGAGAUCAACUUCAGGUUAUUGUUCAUUUGUCUGGGGGAACUUGGUUACAUGGCGAAGCAAGAAACAGUCAGUGGUAGCUCAUAGCAGUGCUGAGGCAGAAUUUCGUGCUAUGGCACAAGGUAUCUGCGAGAGAAUCUGGUUGAACAGGCUGUUAGAAGAAUUACGGGUUCCAUUGAAGCAUCCCAUGGUGUUAUACUGCGACAAUCAAGCUGCCAUCAGUAUCGCUAAGAAUCCGGUUCAUCAUGAUUGAACUAAGCACGUGGAGAUAGAUCGACACUUUAUCAAGGAAAAGAUUGAAGAAGGAGUUUUCAAAGUCAGCUACACUCCGACAAACUGUCAAACGGCUGACAUUCUCACAAAAGCUCUUGCUCGAGUUAACUUCGAAAAUCUGACAGAAAAACUUGGAAUGAUCAACAUUUACAACGCGGCUUGAGGGGGAGUGUUGGAAAUCAAGCCCACGUCGCCUUCCUGCCUGUGCAUGUUCCUCCCCAUAUUUAGCAUCCUCUGUUUACUUCCCUGAAUUAGUGUAAUGUACAGCCUUUAUUAUAAUUUAUUUAGGAGUAAUUCUAGCAAGGUAGUUUAUUCACUUUCCAUGUAAGAGUUUAUUCACUUUCCAUGUAAGGGAAAUUCCGUCCGGUGAUAGUGUACCAUUCCGGAAUUGUCUCAUAUCUGUAGGCUAUUUAUUUAUGCUUUCAUUCAUUGUAAAAAAAAAAAAAAAGGUAUCAUAGAAUAAAUUGAGUCUGUGUUCCUCCAUAGUUUGUCUUCAAAUUCUUCAUAUUUUAGUCUUCAAAUUCUUUAGUCAUGAUUCUCCAAAGGUCAUAUUCAAUCUGUAACCAUAUACACUAGUACACUCAUUGUGGUAAACCUAUCCUAAUUACCAAUAUAAGUUAUUCCACCACUUAAGAGGUAGUGUACUAUGACUUUUGAUGGAUUGACUAAGUCUAAAAAACGAUCGUAAACUAACUCAUCAACUCAUAAGAUGUUAGGAUAAAUCCUUUAAAAGCAUGACAUGAUAUAACAAAAUUUAGAAUUUAUUAUUUGUUAAUAAAGUUCCAGUUUUACUUAUAUCUAUUCUUAUUUCAUGUAUUAUACUUUAUGAAUAUAUAUUAUGGCUUACAUAUCUUGUAUUGUAUAUGAAUUGGAUGCAUUAGGAGUUAUACAGAAGAUCUAAGUUAUGAGUCCCUUGCAAGAGGAUGACUUGUUCAUAGCUAGUUUCUAUGCCUUGACAACCCAUUAGAGACUGUAGUGCAUUACCUUCUAAUUAUAGGGGUUACCGGUUUUGGCUAUCAGAUGGGUUUCUUGUAUUAGUGUGUAUGGUUACACAUUGGAUAUGACCUACGUUGAGUCAUGAUGUAAGACUCUAAAGUAGUCACGACUUCACCAAGUUAUUUCAUUGUGUUAUUUUCAACCUUGAGUGAAUAUUAAGCUUAUAGUAAAAUCAGUAGUGACUUUAACCUACAAGUGAGAUCCUAAAGUGACCAUGUAUUCCUUUAUGGAUUGGAUCACUAUUGAUGGAAACAUGUAACAAUGGGUAUUCUUAAUUAAGGUACCAUCAUAUCUCAUGGGAUUAAGAUAAAGUGUCUUAUUAGGUGAUCUUAAGGAAGUGUGUUUAUAUAAAUUAUGACUAUAGUAGUUUCUUAAGUGGAACUGGACAUAAACUCUUUGUAAGCUAAGAUUGAACAAGCAUAAAAGAAGAAUAGUUUAAUGAAGGUAAACAAAUUAAUUUAAGUUAAAAUUGUUUUUCACAAAAAGGAAAAAAGAGAGGAGUGUGAUGAAUAGAAAAAUAUUAUGUACUAGUAACAAAAUGAUGGAGGGUCCCAAAGAGAAUUGUCCCUCACUUAAGCAUGAAUCUUAAAGAACGUGAUGGCAACUUUUGGCCACUCAUAAUCACAGCUUGAAAUGCUAUUCUUCACCAUACCACCAUAAAAUUGGAUGAAAUUGGUAUCUUUAAUCCGCUUCUUGGCAAACAACAUUUUGAAAAUAAAAAUCCCUUUCAACCAUUUUGGAGAAACACCAUUUAGUUACAAAUGAAAUUCUAAUCCAAGAAUUUAGCCAUAAGUAGUUCUUCUAUGAAAUAGCAUUCCAAACACACUUUCAAAUGGUCAAAAGUCAUCCAACCCAAAUACUAGAAUGAGUAGACUUAGUCUAUUUUAUGACUCCGAAUGAAAUAUUUACUCCUUAGAAUAAAAUAUAAAGAAUGUUUUUCUUUUAAUUUAUUUGAGGGAAACAUCUUUUGGGGUGUGGUCAGAAAGAAAAUUUAAUUUUUGAAGUCUUGUUUGUUAUUGAUAGACAUUUUAUUUUGAACCAAUGACACUCAAUUUACUAUAGAUAUAUUAUUUUUGUAAAAAACUAAUUUAAUGUGUGCAUUAUUAAUUGUUUUAUUAUUUUCAUAAUUUCAUUUAAAGUUUAUAUAAUCAAAUUUCAAGAUUUUUUUAAUCAAAAUUUUCAUUGAUAUUAAUAUUUUCAUUUAUGUAAACUACCAAUAUUUUCAUGGAUAUUAAUUUUUUUUAUUAUGUAGGUUCUAUCAUAUGAAGUUAUAUGGUGUAUCACUCAUUUAUGUCUUAAAUAUAAUUUUCAAAAUUUAUUCAUUUAUCCUAAUUUGAAACUUUAUUAUUAUUAAUAUUGUUAUUAUUAUUAUAAUAAUAUUUUAUUCUUAUUUAUCCAUAACAAAAUACAAAAUAAUUUAACACAAAUUCAAUUUUUUUUUUCAAAAUUUUCUCACAUUCUUUUAAAAAGAAUUUAAGAAGAAAAUCUUUAACCAUUUUAAUUUUUUCUCUCAUUUUUUCCUUUUUUUUAUUUUUUUUUAUCAAGAACUAUCUUUCUUUAUAAAUAAUUUUUUUCCUUUUUCUUAAUCAUUUCCAAAAGUUUUUUGAGCUAUUAAGACUAUGUUUGAUUCCUAAAAAAAUUGAGGGAAAAUGCAAGAGAGAGAGAGAAAAAAAAAAGUGGAAACGUAGAAGGAAAGAAAAAAGAAAGGAAAAUAAAAACUAGAUUUGAAGUUAAUAAAUUAUUUUUAUAUGCUACUUCAAACUUAUUUUAUUGAUUUUAACUCUUUCAUAUGAAGAUUAAAUAAUUUGAAAUUGUAUCAUUUUCUAACUAGUUUUAAUAUAUAUUUGAUUUUCUUUAGUAUUUUUCACAUGACAAUCAAAUAUGAUAAAAUCAAUUUUUUUUUAAUAUUUUUUUCUUUCAUUAUUGCUUUCCGGGAAUCAAACAUAAUCUAAAUUUCUUGUUCUUUUUCCCACAAUAGAUCAACCAAGAGAAGAGAUAAGGGUCGUUGAACUUGACUUGAUGUAGAGAACCUUGAAUUUCUCUCUUUUCUUCCUCCAAUUACCUUGCCAAUUCAAAACGCCUUUAGUAGCAAGACUUUGAGGUCUACAACUAUGUACAAGUCAUGCACUCAAUUAUGCCAAAAACAUCACAUUCACAAGUCUUUUUCUUUCACUCUCCCAACUAACUUAAAUACUUCCUAUUAGAGAAACUACUAUAUAAAUAGUUAUAAAAUGUAUACUUAUUUAUAUUUAUUCAUGAUAAUAGGUAACAAUUAUAAUUAAAACAUGGAUUUUUGAGAUGAUAGCUACAAUAAAUUGAAACCUCAUCCAAUUAUUUUAGGAGAGGCAAAAUAAUGUUUGAUUAACAUAUAAACUAAAUUGAGUAAAUUACAAGAAAAAUGUUAUGCUUGUUAAAGAAUUCGAGCAUUGACUAGUGUGUUGUUUGGGCUAAAGGGAGACUUCCAUUUUCACAUUGGAGGGAAUAUAGACUUUAAUCUACUCAAGUGACAAUGACUUAUCCCGUUGAAUUCAAAUUAAUAAAUUUUAUAAUUAUAGAUAUUUUGAUAUUUUUAGUAAUAAAAUGAAAUAAUGCGGAUAUUGGAUUCAUUUAGUAUCACUUUCUAAAGUUAAUUCAUUUCUCCUCUUGAAACAUCCGUAAAAGUAAUGUUUAAACAUGUCUGGGCUUAGCAGUCUCUCCCAGCUGCUGCCAAUGAGAAUUCUAUUCUUUUUAUGGAUUUUAUUCAUGCCCUUAUGCCCGAUCUUUUUUGGUAUGCAUGUUACUUCUGUGUCCGGCGAAUGUCUGAGUGAUGGGAGGGUAUGCCUGGAAGAUGAGGUGUUGUUGCUGCUGCAACUGAAGAGCAGCCUCAUAUUUAAUACUGCUGCAUCGAAUAAACUUGUUUCCUGGAUUCAAAGCGCGGACUGCUGUUCUUGGGGAGGUGUAACAUGGGACGCCACUGGUCGUGUUGUCUCUCUUGAUCUCAGUAGCGAAUUCAUUUCUGGUGAACUCAAUAGCUCCAGUAGCAUUUUCAGUCUACAAUAUCUCCAGAGCUUGAAUUUGGCUAACAACACCUUCUCUUCUCAAAUUCCAGCAGAAUUCCACAAGCUUGGAAACUUAAAUUACCUGAAUUUGUCCAACGCUGGCUUUUCUGGGCAGAUUCCAAUUGAGAUUUCCUACUUGACAAGGUUGGUUACUAUUGAUCUAUCUAGCCUUUAUUUCAUCACCGGUAUCCCAGAACUGAAACUUGAGAACCCAAAUCUGACAACGCUGGUCCAGAACCUCAAGGAGCUUAGGGAACUUCAUCUUAGUGGUGUAAACAUUUCGGCCAAGGGAAAGGAGUGGUGCCAGUCAUUAUCAUCUUCAGUGCCAAAUCUCCAAGCGCUAAGCUUGUCCAGAUGUUUUCUUUCAGGCCCCAUUGAUUCUUCUCUGGAGAAGCUUCAGUAUUUGUCAAGAAUUCGUCUGGAUGGCAAUAAUUUUUCCUCUCCAGUUCCAGAAUUCCUUGCGAAAUUUCAAAAUUUGACUUGCUUGCGGCUCAGUUUUUGUGGAUUAUAUGGAACAUUUCCUGAAAAGAUCUUUCAGGUACCAACCCUUCAGAUUCUUGAUAUCGAAAACAACAUGUUACUUGAGGGUUCUCUGCCAGAAUUCCCUCUGAAUGGAGCUCUGGAAACCCUGAUCCUCUCAGAUACAAAAUUUUCAGGGAAAGUACCUGACUCAAUAGGCAAUCUCAAGAUAUUGACCAGGAUAGAGCUUGCAAGGUGUAAUUUCAGUGGGCCAAUCCCAAACUCCAUGGCCGACCUCACUCAAUUGGUUUACUUGGACUUGUCUGAAAAUCAGUUUUCUGGUCCAAUCCCGCUGUCACUGUUUUCCUUUCCAUCACUGCAGACGAUACAACUAACCAACAACUAAUUUUCUGGUCAGUUCAACAUUUUGCUUAAUGCGUCUUCAUCUGUAUUGCAUACCCUUGAUUUGAGUAGCAACAAUCUGGAAGGCCCCAUACCAGAAUCUGUUUUUGAACUACAGGGUCUUUACAUCCUUGAUCUAUCUUCCAACAAAUUCAAUGGAACAGUGGAGCUCAGCAAGUUUCAAAAACUUGGGAAUCUUACCACUCUCAGUCUUUCGUACAACAAUUUGUGGAUAAUUGCAAGUGGUAGUGAUUUCAUUCCUUCAAAAUUACCGCAUUUGACCACAUUAAAAUUGGCUUCUUGCCAGCUGGGGACAUUACCUGAUCUUAGCAGCCAGUCAAGAUUGUCAUAUUUGGACCUUUCCGAAAACCAAAUUCAGGGGGAGAUACCUAAGUGGAUCUGGAAAGUUGGUAAUGGCUCUCUUAUCCAUUUGAAUCUCUCUCUUAAUUUACUGGAGGAUCUGCCAGAACCUUCAUCUAUUCUUUCUACUAAUCUUUUGGUCCUUGACCUACACUCCAAUCAGCUCCAUGGGCGAAUUCCCACUCCACCCUCAUGUUCCGCCUAUGUGGAUUACUCAAACAACAGUUUCACCUCUUUCAUCCCAGAUGACAUUGGUACUUAUAUCUCCCUCAAUAUUGUCUUCAUGCUUUCAAAGAAUAAUAUCACUGGAAUUAUCCCUGAAUCAAUAUGCAAUGCCAGUUAUCUAAGCGUUCUUGACUUAUCUGACAAUGCUUUGAGUGGCAAAAUACCCUCAUGCUUAAUUGAGAUCGAGACUCUUGCAGUGCUGAAUCUAGGGAGAAACAAGUUUAGUGGCAUUAUAUCUGGCGAAUUUCCAGGAAACUGUGUCUUACAGACUUUAGAUCUGAAUGGGAACCUUUUAGAAGGAAAAAUUCCAGUGUCUCUGGCCAAAUGCAAAGAGUUAGAGGUUUUAAACCUUGGGAACAAUCAGAUGGAUGAUAACUUUCCUUGCUGGUUGAAGAACAUAAGCAAUUUGCGUGUCCUUGUUUUGCGAGCCAACAAAUUGCAUGGACCCAUUGGAUGUCCAAAUAGCAACUCCACCUGGCCAAUGGUUCAAAUUGUGGACCUAGCUCACAACAAUUUCAGUGGUGAGUUACCAGCAAAGUGCUUCUUGACCUGGAGAGCAAUGAUGGCAGGCGACGAUGAAGUCGAAUCCAAGCAUAAAAACCUCGAAUUUGAGGUCUUAUUAGGAUGGUACUAUCAGGAUGCUGUAAGAGUUACCAGCAAAGGUCAAGAAUUGGAGUUGGUGAAGAUCCUAACGCUCUUCACCUCUAUUGACUUGUCACGCAACAAUUUCGAAGGGGAGAUACCAGAAGUAAUGGGAGACUUGACAUUACUUUAUGUUCUCAACUUAUCUGGCAAUGGUUUCACAGGGCGCAUCCCAUCAUCACUAGGACAGCUCCGACAGCUUGAGUCAUUAGACCUCUCAAUGAACAAGCUGAGCGGCGAGAUCCCUACACAGCUUGCGAGCCUAAAUUUCCUUUAAGUGCUGAACCUCUCAUUCAAUCAAUUGGUGGGAAGAAUCCCAACAGGGAGUCAAUUGCAAACAUUUUCAGAAAAUUCCUUCCUGGGUAACAGAGGAUUAUGGGGCUUCCCCCUGAACCCAAGCUGCAAAGAUGCUACACCACCACCGGCGUUUGAAAGCAGGCAUUCAGGUUCCAGGAUGGAGAUUGACUGGGACUACGUGGCUCCGGAGAUUGGAUUCGUGACAGGGUUAGGCAUCGUGAUUUGGCCUCUAGUGUUUUGCAAGAGAUGGAGGAGAUGCUACUACGAGCAUGUUGAUGGAAUUCUCUCAAGGAUUCUCCGCGGCUAAGACAAGGAAGAGCAAAUAAUGGGAGCAGGGAUCUAGCGACCACUAGUGAGAAGGAUCUAGUUGGAGUGUAUUGUAUUUCUAUUAGAUAGAAACUAUCUUUUCUACCCAUAUGCAGAAAAGCUUUUUAGUUUUUACUCAAAACUAUAGUCUAUGACCCAGUUAAACCUACACAAAAUAAAAUUCUAAUUUCGGAGAUUCAACAAGUCAUUCAAGAUGAGCAAGAGGUUAAGAUAUGUUGGCUGGAUGUGGGCCCGAGUUGGGUUAAACUUGGUUGGCCUGAUUGGUACAAACCAAGACCAACUAUGGUAGUUAGGCCCAUGUUCAGCCCAAUCAACACAUCUGAAGCCAUUAGGGAGUUUAGAUUGAUAACCACUUAAUUAUCAUGCUAGCUAGUAAACCUGCUGCACAUCCACUUAUAAAAGUUUCAUUUGGAAAUGUUUCUCAUUUUACCCUUUUUUUUUAAUCACAAUUUUUAUUAUAUUGUUAAUUUAGAGGAAGAAAAAACUUCAAUCAAUUUUUUGUAAUCCUUUCUUCCAACAAUCAUUUAUGAAGAUUAAACAAUGAGACAAGUAUGAGAUGUUUUUAGAGUAAAUGGCGAAUUAAUGUAACUUCUUAGGUCUUCGUUCUUAAUGGAAUUUGAAAACAAUGAAUAUUUUUAUUCAGGUGAAAUAACAUUUUUUAAAGAGUCCACGAUCCUUCUCAUCAUACCCUGCAAAUGCUUGUACAGUUUUUUGGGUUGUUUUUGCCUUCACUCACCAUAAUUCCUAAUCAACUUUCAUGUGAAGAUUAAGAAGCACCGAAACUGGGCCAAACCUGUUCAUGGGGAAAGAAUAGUCUUUGGUUUCCGAUACGUCCUCAACAAACAUAAAAGAAGAAUAGUAAUCAAUUCAGAGUAAACAGGUCCAAUUGAUCAGUGAAUUGAGAGUGAGAGGACAGUUUGUAAGGGGACCUUUUUGGUCUCAUUCAGAGUAAUCAAUUCCAUUUCAGUAGGGGUUCUGCUUCCCUUGUUUUCUUUCUCUUUCACAAGGACUGGAGUGGGUAGACUUGAAGCCAAGCUGAACAGCUCUUAGCUCUUCCCAACUACCAGCCCCUCCCUCACCAAUCACUUCCACUUGCAACUUACAUUAUCGCUACAUUUGUCAAAGUGAAGGCUAUGAAUUUUUGUAGAAUAAUUGUAACAACAUUUAUUGUACUAUAACGAUGCCUAAGAGAGGAUGAAAAAUGGUAUUAAAAGCAAAAAAGAUAGAUGUCAUCUUUCUGUGGAUGACCUGUAAUCGGCUUGUUUUUUCGUUUAAUUUUUUGCAUGAAUUUGCGCACUCAACAUUUCUUGUUGGGUUUGAUUAAAAAGCCAAUGAGAGAAAGAUCGGUAUAUAUGAAUUGGAUACGAGCAUUGUAUAUAAGAUGAGUUUCUUAGGUGGUGUUUGUUUUUUUUACUUUUGCUGAAAGCAAAUUGUUUUCAGAAUUUAGGUUGUUUGUUUAUCUACUUUUUUAUGACUUAUUAUAAACUUUUUAUUAAAUAGAAAAAGACAAAAUAUGUAGCUUUUUUAAAAUAGAAUAAAAAUAUCAUAUUGGUUUUUCUUUACCUUUUAAUACUUAAUAGAAAUAGAAUACUAUAAAAACAAACAAUCUAAUAUUUAACACUAUUAAACAUUAAGGUUCUAUUUAAAAUUAAGUAAAAAAACAAACACCACUUUAGUCUCGUUCAAAGUAAUCGAAUCCAUGUCAGUAGGCAGUUUGAUUUUUCAAUGGAUUAAAAAGUUUGUAAUCAUUUCUAAAUAUUACAUGAAAUACAUGAAAAGGAAAAACUUGUAGUGGAACUUAAUGCUCUAAAAACGAAAUCAAAAGGCAAAUGUUGAACACACUCUUAAACUCUUUCUCCACUUAUCCAUUUAUUUUUCAAAAAAAAAAAAUAUAUGAAUGGUUAAAAAUACCUCUUUUUCAUCUUCUCGACACCACUCAUCACCAACCUUGGUUUUUUUUCUUCCAUUUUCUUUUCUUUCGAGUCUCUUACCUUCACCUACUAAAUAUAUGAAUUUGAUUUUCAUCAAACCCAUCAACAUAGGGUAAAAAAACCUUAUGUUGUUUUCUAUUCCAAAAAGCAUUGGGGAUAGAAAAACAUAAAUUUGUUUCAAUUUGAUUUUUAAUAUUUUCUAUUCUUGUUUGAAUAUCUUUUUGUAAUAGAUUUUCUUCCAUUCUUUUAUAAUGUAUUUCUUUGCUUAUGUGUUUGAUAUGUUGUUUUUUCUUUUGAAUAAGAUUUACUUCAUUUUCUUGAAGUGUAUUUAACUCUUUAAUUUUUAAAGAACUAAUAAAUUUGAAACAAAUACUUUGUCCUUUAUAACUAGUUUUAAUUCCUUCAUCAUCUACUUUAAAAGGAUAAAGUAGUGCAAGGAAUGGUGUUCCCAAGAUUAUAUCUUUAUUCAUAUCUCUGACAAUUUAAAGAGAAGUCUUGUAACAAACAUUUUGAUUAUAGAUAUGAACAUUUGAAAUUUUGAAAUCUACCAUCAAAGGCUUCGAGUUUGUACUCACACACUUGGUAAGUCUUUUCAAAGUAUAUAGUUGGGAUUAAUCCUUUCUGUACACAAUUAAUAUUAGCACUAGAAUCAAUUAAUGUUAAAAACUCUUUUAAAAAAAUCAGGUUUUAUAAAACGUUUUACUUUGAUGUGCCAUUUUUUAAUUAACAUUUUAGUUAUACUAUUUACAAAAAAUUGAGAAGAUUCUCCUUCUUCUAAUUGUUUAUCUUCAUGUUGUUCUAAUUUUUCAUUUUCUAAUAUUUGGAGUCUUGUUUUUUAUUUCUUGAUUUUGACUUAUCAUGGUAUUAAUUUGAAGUUUUAUCAACUUAUUUCAUUUUGAAGGUCUUGAAUUCCUAUUGGUUUUAAAGCAGAAAAUUGGUUUAAUACAGUUUUUAAACUGUAUUGAUUUGUAUUUUCUAUUUGUCUUUCAUUCCUUUGUUCAACAUGGAGGUAAUUUGAUUCCUACUUCCUGUUCUCAAUUAUUAUUCUUUAUAUCAAGAUUUCAAAUUCCAUGGAUCUUGUGUUGGGACUUUGUCCAAACACAAUUAAUUCCCCCUCUCUUUCCUCCGCAUUUGGCGGUUGAAUUCAAACUCAAAUGGUGGUCAAACUUUUCUCCUUCUUCCACCCAACAAAUUCCUCAUAUUCGUCAAUGGAUAUCUUCAAAAUAUUCUAACACAAGCAAAAAAAAUACAUUAUAAAUAAAUGGAAGAAAAUCUAUUACAAAAAGAUAUUCAAACAAGAAUAGAAAAGAUUAAAAAUCAAAUUGAAACAAAUUUAUAUUCUUCUAUCCCCAAUGCUUUUGGAAUAGAAAGCACCAUAAGUUUUCCUUACCCUAUGUUGAUGGAUUUGAUGAAAAUCAAAUUCCCACUAAGGCAAUACCAAUUCAAAUGAAUACUCAAUUAAUUACUUGAGUAUUGUAAGAAAGAAAUCAAGGAUCUUUUAGAAAAAAAUAGUAUUAGAAAGAGUCAUUCUCCUUGGAGUUGUGUAUCUUUUUAUGUUCAAAAACCUUUGAAAAUUGAAAGAGGUGCUCCAAGACUUGUCAUAAACUAUAAGCCUUUAAAUAAGGUUCUCAAAUGGAUAAGGUAUCCAAUACCUAAUAAGAGAGACCUUAUUGGAUGCCUUUAUUAUGCUUCAAUUUUCUCAAAAUUUGAUAUAAAGUCUAGAUUUUGGCAAAUUCAAACUCUAUCUCUUACUCUAAUUCAACCUAAUAUUAAACUUAUACUCUAAUUCAAACUAAUAUAUAAUAAAUAGAUAAAUACUAAUAUUUAAAUUAAGGACAACAUUAACUCUCUAUGAUAUUCUUAAAGAGAAAAAAGAAAAAAAAUUAAAUACAUUAUCCAUACUUUCAUAUUAAUUUAAUUUUUGAAUGAAAUUAACAAAAUAAGUUCAAUAGCAUUCACUUUCUAAGGAACCAAAAAAUAAAAAAUUUGUUCAUGCUUUUAGAUUUACAUAACGAAAAAUACUUUAUCAAUAUUUCAACGAUCAAGAUUCUUCUUAUUCAACUUGAAGAAUAAAGUAAGCUUACUGCAAAGCUAACAUAUAAAUUAUAUUUUGACCCAUAAUUUUAUGGCCCCAACUAUGUCUUUUUCUCAAAUUUCAACAAACCAAAAAAAUGUUUCAUAGAAAACGCAAUGUCUAAUUUAUUUAUUUUUUUUAUGGUUAAUUUGAAUGUAUAGAAAAUCAAAAUUUAAAACUAAAUUCUUUAUAUCACCACAAAUAAAUAAAUUUCAAUUAUUUCAUCAAAUUUAAUCAAUUUGCAUGUUAUAUACAUAAAAAUAAUCAUGAUAUUUCUAUCAAUAAUUUUUUAAGAUCUUUUUUAUGUAGUAAUUUAGUUCAAGUUAAGUAUAACUUGAAAACAAAAGUACAAAAAUUUUGAAAAUGUAUUAAAAAAACACAAAAAAUUGAUAGCCAUAGAUUAUUAUUUUUAUAUUAAAUAUAUUUUAAUGUGUUUUCAUGUAUUGGAAUUCAAUGAAAUACUAAUUUUAUUUCCACAUUAAUAUUUUGUAUUAAUUUUUGAAGUCUUGUUUCUCAUAGAUAGACAUUUUAUUCUAAACUAAAGACACAUAAUUUACUGUAGAUAUAUUAUUUUUGUAAAAACCUAAUUUAAUGUGUGCAUUAUUAAUUGUUUUAUUAUUUUCACAAUUUCAUUUAAAGUUUAUAUAGUCAAAUUUCAAGAUUUUUUUAAUCAAAAUUUUCAUUGAUAUUAGUAUUUUCAUUCAUGUAAGUUUAAACUACCAAUAUUUUCAUGGAUAUUAAUUUUUUUUAUUAUGUAGGUUCUAUCAUAUGAAGUUAUAUGGUGUAUCACUAGUGUAUGUCUUAAAUAUCAUUUUCCAAAUUUAUUCAUUUAUCCUAAUUUGAAACUUUAUUAUCAUUAAUAUUGUUAUUAUUAUAAAAUUUUACUCUUAUUUAUCCAUAACAAAUUAAUAAAAUAAAAUAAAAAUUAAUACAAAUUCAAAUUUUUUUUUUCAAAAAUUUCUCACAUUCUUUUAAAAAAAUAUUAAGAAGAAAAUAUUUAACCAUUUUUUUCUCUUUUUUUUUUCACUUUUUAAAUCUUUUCUCAUGAUACCUAAACAUCAAGAAAUAUCUUUCUUCAUAAAUAAUUUUUUUUCCCUUUUCUUAAUCCUUUCCAAAAGUUUUUUGAGCCAUUAAGACUAUGUUUGAUUCCUAAAAAAUUGAGGGAAAAUGCAAGAGAGAGAGAGAAAAAAAAAAGACAAAACAAAAAGAGUGGAAAAAUAGAAGGAAAGAAAAAAAAAAAGGAAAAAAAAAAAUAGAUUUGAAGUUAAUAAAUUAUUUUUAUAUGCUACUUCAAACUCAUUUGAUUGAUUUUAACUCUUUCAUAUGAAGAUUAAAUAAUUUGAAAUUGUAUCAGUUUCUAACUAGUUUUAAUAUAUAUUUGAUUUUCUUUGGUAUUUUUCACAUGACAACCAAAUAUGAUAAAAUCAAAAUUUUUUUUAAAUAUUUUUUCAUUCCUCAUUGCUUUCCGAGAAUCAAAUAUAACCUAAAUUUCUUGUUCUUUUUUCCAUAAUAGAUCAACAAAGAGAAGGGAUAAGGGCCAUUGAACAUGACUUGAUGUAGAGAAACUUUAAUUUCUCUCGUCUUGCUCUAGUUACCUUACCAAUUCAAAAUGCCUUUAGUUGGAAGACUUUGAGGUCUACAAACAUAACCUAAAUUUCUUGUUCUUUUUUCCACAAUAGAUCAACAAAGAAAAGAGAUGAGGGCCAUUGAACAUGACUUGAUGUAGACAAUCUUGAAUUUCUCUCGUCUUCUUAUAGUUACCUUACCCAUUCAAAACGCCUUUAGUUGGAAGGCUUUGAGGCCUACAACUGUGGAAAAGUCAAGCCCUCAAUUAUGCCCAAACAUUACACUCACAAGUCUUUUUCUUUCACUCUCCUAACUAACUUAAAUGAUUCUUAUUAGAGAAACUACUAUAUAAAUAGUUUUGAGAUGUAUACUUAUUUAUAUUUAUUUAUCAUAAUAGAUAACAAUUAAAAUUAAAACAUGGCAUUUUGAGAAGAUAGCUAAAAUAAAUUGAAACCUCAUCCAAUUGUUUUAGGAGAGGUAAGAUAAUGUUUGAUUAACAUACAAACUAAAUUAAAUGUGUAAAUUACAAGAAAAGUGUUAUGCUUGUUAAAGAAUUCGAAAAGCGUAUUUUUUGGGCUAGAAAAAAGGUCGCAAAGAAAAAAGAAUUAUGGAAAGGAGAAUUCCAUUUUCAUGUUGGUGGGAAGAUAGACUUGAAUCUAAUUUUCCAAGUGACAAUGGCAUAUUCCCAUUGAAUUCAAAUUGAUAAAUUUUAUCAUUAUAGAUAUUUUGAUAUUUUUAGUAAUGGAAUGAAAUAAUGUGGAUAUUGGAUUAUUUUGAUAUUUUUACUAAUGGAAUGAAAUAAUUUAGAUAUUGGAUUCAUUUGAACUAUGUUUGGAUCCCAGAAAAUACUAGGAAAAGAAAAAAAUGUUAAGAAAAAUGGUUUUCUCACGUUUGGUUUCACUAUAGAAAAUAUAAAAGAAAAUCAAAUAUAAUUAAAAUUAAUUUACAAUUUAGAUAUUUUAAAAUUAUUUAAUCUUGCUAUAAUAGAGAGAACUAAGUAAAUUGAGUUUGCAAAAACAUAUAAACAUAAUUUAUUAAAUUUAAAUUUUUCUUCAUUUUUUCUUUCUUUUUACUUUUCCUCUUUAUUUUCUUUCCUUUGCAUUUUCCUUCAAUUUUUUUGAGAACCAAACAUAGUCUUAGUAUCACUUUCUAAACUUAAUUUGGUAUGUAUACAUGCAAAACUCUAUAAAAUUGAAUUUGUUGUUUAUGUUGUAUGCCAUAAAAUUUGCAUAGACUCUUUGGGAAGCUUCCCUCCAUGUGUCCUUCACAGGCUCAAGGCCCUUUGGCCGUCCAAGGGAAGCAAAUAAUCUGUCUAGGAGAAAUCCAUCUGGACCAAGACAAUCUCCGUUUGGCAUAAAAGGAAAGACGAAUUUCCUUUUUCCCUAAUGCCAGACAGAAUGGACAAACUAAACCGACUGGGGGACUUUCAAAUGGACAAACUAAGCCAGUCGAAAAUUCCAAGCAUUGAGUAGAUGAUUAACCACCACCAAUGCCUAAGCAACAAGCAAAACAACAUUUACACCCAGAAAUCAAUGUCCCUUAGUCGUUACGUGCAAUCGGUGACAUUAAAAAACGUAUAUGCACAACCAACAACAUGGUUCGAGAUACAAAAAAUAAAUGACGCCAAUUAGUAACUCUUAUUUGGUAUGAUUGUCCAAUCCACACUAAGCUAAUGACAUUGACUACCUUAUUAAGGCAUAGUAUCCGCCAUGACGACAAUCAUCAGCGCAAGAAAUGCAUGAAUGCACAAUCAAUGCUAUGAUGAUGAUGUCAUACGUUCUAUAAAAACUCAUCUAAAAGCAUGAAAAAGGUAUGCACAUACAUAACCAUUCAAAAAGUUGGAUUCAUUCUCACUAGAUUCUGACUUAAGCUUCGAAGGGGCAUGCUCGGACCACCUAUCUGAACAUCCUUUUGUGUUGGGAACAAUCCAUCUAACUCUAAUGAAGUCAGAUCCUACAUGCAAUUGGCACAACACCAACAUUGGUGCAGUCUAUGGGAAACAACUAAGGAUGUUAAUGCCCUUUAGAAACUAAUCAUCAAUUAUUAGUGAUGAAGACUAUUUUGUCUAAUGCAAAAGAAUGGAGAAAGGCCAACGAGAAAAUGAGCAGCAAAUACAAACUUUGCUCUACUAAACAGAACGACUAAGAGAAAAGAACGAGGAGUUGCAGACUCAAAUGUCAAUAGUGAGCCCCUCUCAAAGUCGACACACUCAAAGCUGACAAACAGCCUCACGACGAACUGUUGAGGCAUCUUUCCUUGGGGGCACAAAGUUCUCCUUCGACAGCUACUCAAGACAAUACAAGAAGGAGUCUUCGCCAACUCAUCAAAUUUAGUCAGACGAAGGCAUCAAUUCCAUCUGGGCAUCAAGGAAAAAGAGGCGCGACAAAGGGUCGCAUUUGUCUAAUGCGAAGCGAGCCAGACUAAGACCUUAAGCACUAGGCGUGGAGACACAACCGCACAUGUUAAAAACUCUAAGGGCACGUCUAAGUCAGCCAGCCAUAACAACCACAUCUAGAUGCCCCCCCUCAACCACCAAGGCAAUAGCAGGCAGGAGUGUCAACAACGCGAGCCACACCUUACUCUAUUAGUCGAAGGUUGGAUGACAUGCUCUCCAUGUUGUUCGUCACUCAUAUCAUUAGCUAUGAACCACCCAGAGGGUUCGUGUUGCCCAAAUUCAUAAUGUACGAUGGAACGAGUGACCCAUUUGACCACAUCAUGCACUUCAGGUAGCUUAUGACCCUUGACAUAGGGAAUGAUGCACUGAUGUGCAAGGUCUUUCCGGCCAACCUACAUAGCCAAGUUCUCUUCUGAUUUCACCACCUUGCAUAGAAUUCUGUGAACACAUUCCAAAAUGUCUCAGAAGCCUUUGUGGGCCACUACUUAUGUUUUGCUCGCCAAAAGCAGAACAUAAGCACCUUAUAGAACAUCAAGUUACAGGAAAAUGAAAUGCUAAGGGAUUUCAUGAAGCGGUUUGGACAAGCAGUUCUUUAAGUUAAAUCAUAUAGUAUGGACGUCAUCCUAUAGAUCUUCAAGCAAAGUAUUAGCCUAGGCACUCCAUUUUUCGAGUUCCUUGCAGAAAAGCCACCCAUAACAAUGGAUGACCUAUUCAAGCGGACAGACAAGUAUUCUAUGCUCGAAGAUGAUGUCAAAGCAACCUCUCAACAAGUCUUGGUCACCAAUCAACCGGCCAAGAAUGAUAAAGCAAGGAGUUGUAAGCCUUCUAACCAAAUGAGACAGGUAGCAAAAAAUAAGACAACCGACAACAACAGUAGGAGAGUCUCACUUCUUUAAGUAUCUCUUAUAAGAAACUCCUCCCAUAGAUCUGUGACCCAUCGGACUUCAGAUGCUUGGAUCUAAUUAAGAUAGAUUCGGAUAGAUGGGACUAGAACAUAAGGUGCUCUUACCAUAGGGAAAAUGAAAACACCACUAAACAAUGCAAGAGUCUACAUUACUUGGCGAAAAAACUCAUCAAGAUUGGACACCUUAAGCAGUACUUUUGCACAACAAGCCAGCAAAGAAAGACAACACUAGAGGUACCCGCCCAAGCCCCUAUAUCUCCGACAACCCCCAAACUAUAAUUAACUAUAUACACGGAGGUCUAAUAGAUGACAAACACAACUCUAGGUGACAAAGGCGAAGGUUUCUUCAUGCAACUUCUAUAAGAAAAUAGAUUAGUUCCGUCUAGGACACCUUUGUAGAAGGAAGUGUGCAUCCAGUCGAUUACACAAUCACCUUUCCUCUUAUAGGUGUCAAUUGGGUGUUGCAACCCCAUAGAGAUGCCUUGAUCCUAACACUAGGGAUGGGCAAAUUAGAAGUGCGGAGAAUCCUAGUUGAUCCAGGCAAUUUAGCUAAUCUCUUGCAAAUGUCAACCUACAGGCAAAUGGGUCACUCACCAUCUGCCUUAGAAAAUCCAAGGCGUCUACUAUCCAGAUUUAAUGGACUUACAAUAACCUCCCUAGGUGAUAUUGUGUUACACGUCCAAUCCGACUCGAUCAUAACGAGUGUACAAUUCUCGAUGGUUAAUGAUCUGUCUCCAUACAAUGCCAUUAUGGGACAUGCAUGACUUCACAAAAUGAAAGUCAUUCCUUCUACGUACCAUCAAAUGGUAAGCUACCUCACAGAAGUGGAACAAGUCAAUUUCCUUGGUAGCCAACUAGCCGCAUGAUAAUACUAUCAAGUGGCGCUAGAGUUUGUACAUCCAACCAACGAUGAGGCACAUCUCGAACCAUCGAACACAAGGUAACAAUAGCAGUUACUAAGCCCGAUGGAGAAAUAUCCAUCCGCGGUUGAUCCGCUUCAACCACUGCUUUUUUCACAUGACACAAAUCAAAUCACCUACAAUCAGUUUUUUACUUGCGCAAGAUGAACUAGAACUGCUAGGGAAUACGAUUUAGUGCAAUAAAAACAUUUUUUCCUAGACUCACUAGGACAUGUAAGAAAUCCAUCCGGUCGUGGCCUCCCAAAAGCUCAAUGUCUCACCCACAUCGUAUCCUAUCUAGUAGAAGGUCUAAUGCUUUCAUAUGGAUUGUCAAAAAAUCAUCUAGAUGGAAGUUGACAAGCUAUUGGCAAUCAGAUUUAUUAGAAAAGUCAAAUAUUCAGAUUGGUUGGCGAACGUGGUGGUAAUUCCAAAGAAAAAAGGGAAAGUGGUGAGUUUACGUUGACUACACUAACCUGAAUAAUGCUUGUCCAAAGGAUAGUUUUCUCUUACCUAGAUAGAUUAGAUAAUCAACGCCACAAUCGAGCAUGGGGUGCUAUCCUUUUUAGAUGCCUUUUUCGGAUACCACCAGAUCCCUAUGUUAUAGCCAGAUGAGGAGAAAAUAGUCUUUGUCAUGCCACAAGGACCAUAUUGUUAUAGAGUCAUGUUGUAUGGACUCAAGAAUGUUGUCGCUACCUACCAGAGACUAAUGACAAAAAUCUUCAAGCCCUUGAUCGACAGAACUAUGGAAGUCUACAUUGAUGACAUUCUUGUAAAGAAUGAGACCCAAGUUGAGCAUGUUCAGCACCUAGAAGAAACAUUCCAUUUGAUACGAGCAUACAACAUGAAGCUCAAUCUAGUUAAAUGUGCCUUCGACAUCAAUGUAGGAAAAUUUCUAGGGUUUAUGGUAACCCAAAGGGGAAUUGAAGUUAAUCCAGCUCAAGUGAAAGCCGUCUUGGAAACACCUGCUCCAAAUAACAAAAACAAAUUGUAGCACCUUACAGGCCAUCUCACAACUUUGGGUCGUUUCAUAGCUCGUUUUAUAGACAAGAUGCAACAUUUUUUCCUCACAUUUAAGGGGGCAAGCACGUUUGGCUGGACAGACGAAUGUAAACAGGCAUUUGAGGCAGUCAAACACUACCUCAUUGAACCACCUAUUCUAAUCAACCCCAAAUUCGACAAAGAACUUUACAUGUAUCUGGUCGUAUCUAAUUACACUGUCAGUGUCAUCCUAUUUCGACAUAUACUAGACAAGGAACAGAAACCCAUCUAUUAUGGGAGCAAAGUAAUGGUGGAUGCUGAGACAUGGUAUUCCUAAGUAGAGCAAAUUGCUCUAGCACUAAAGAGUGUAGCUCAAAAGCUCCACCCACACUUCUAGGCUCAUCAAGUGAUCAUACUUACAAACCAGCCGCUUCGAGUCACCUUGCACAAGCUAUCCGGAUGAAUGUUGAAAUGGGCAAUCGAGUUGAGUGAGUAUGAGAUCAAGUAUCAAUCGUGGUUAUCCUUAAAAAGACAGGUUAUGACCAAAUUUAUAGUUGAACUCCAUGAAAAAAAAAAAAACCACAUCCGGUCAAUCGCCCUAGAAAGCAAUGGUGGAUAUUUCAUGUAGACGGAGCAUCCAAGGUGUCUAGAUCCGGAGUGGGUCUGCUCCUGCAGUCAUCAACUGGGAAACUAGUAUAAAAAACUAUCCACCUUAGCUUCUCGUUUUCCAACAACGAGGCAAAAUAUGAAGCUAUGCUAGUCAGGCUAGAUCUUACCCUAAUGUUAGCCAUAACCAAGUUGGAAAUCAUGAGCAAUUCUCAGCUAAUUGUUGGGCAGAUUCAAUAAGAGUAUGAAACAAAGGAUGAAUGUAUGACGCGAUACCUUGCCCUGGUGGAAAAACACCUGAAAAAGCUAGACGAAUGGAUUAUCAAACAGGUGCCGUAAGAGGACAAUGAAAAUACCAACACACUAGUCGAGCCAGCUGCCACUUUCCCCAUAAAUGGGACGGUAAUGCUACCCAUUUACCUCGAAAUCAAGUCUUCCAUCACUCCUAGGCUAGUAUGCAAUAUCGGUUAAAUAGACUCAGGAUGGAUGCUUGACAUCAUAAAAUACCUCCAAACAGGGGAUGUACCAAAAGACAGAAAGCAAACACACAAACUUUGCAUACAAGCAACAUGCAUCACUUUAAUUAAUGAUCAACUUUAUAAACGAUCAUUUGAAGACCCAUAUCUAAAGUGUUUGAGCAAGCCAGAGUUCAAGUAUGUCCUAAUCAAACUCCAUGAUGGCAUAUACAACAAUCACCUAGGGGGGCAAACUUUAGCGCACCGUGCCUACACGUAAGGAUAUUAUUGGCCCACCAUGAAGUGGGACACUGAAAGCUAUGUCAAAAGAUGCGAUCGAUGUCAAUGACACAUUCCCAUUCCCUGUGUACCUUCGAAAGUCCUCAAUUUGGUCACAAGUCCUUGGCCAUUUGUGUAGAGGAAUGGACAUAGUCAACCCCUUACGUAUUGGAGCAUCGCAAAAAAAGUUUUUGCUCGUUGCAAUCGACUACUUCAGCAAGUGGGUGGAGACAGAAGCUUAUGUCAGUAUCAAAGACAAAGAUGUUUCUAGAUUUGUCUAGAAAAACAUCAUAUGUCAAUUCGAAAUUCCACGAGCAAUUAUCAUGGAUAAUAGGCCCUAAUUUGAUAGGAUCGUCUUCUGAACAUUUUGUUCAAAGCUAAACAUUAAGAACUUUCACUCAACACCCCACUAUCCGCAAAGCAACAGACAUGCCAAGUCAACAAACAAAGCCCUAUUAAAUGCUUUGAAGAAAAUGUUGGCAAGAAUAAAAGGAAAAUGGGUAAAUGAAUUGCCCAAAGUUUUAUGGGCCUACCAGACAACAUCUAGACGGCCAACAGGAGCCACUCCCUCGCCUUUGCUUAUGGGAUGGAAGCCAUCAUUCCAACCAAAAUUGGCAUGCCUACUACCAAAAUAGCAGUGCAAGAUAAAAAAGACAACAAUGAACUCAUAAGGCAACUAGAUUGUGUUGAAGAAAAGUAAGAAACUCCAGCUAUCCGAAUAGCUUCUUACUAUUAGAGGGCAAUCACUCAGUACAACAAAAAGGCACGACUACGGUUUUUUCAGUUAGGAUCUUUGGUUCUUAAAAGAGUCUUAAAAAACACAAUUGAAAUGGGACAUGGAAGCUAUAAGCUAAUUGGGAAGGACCUUAUGUUGUAAUUAAGGUAGGAGACUUGGGGGCAUAUCACCUCCAAACACUAGACGACGUGUCUCUGCUCUUCCCUUUGAAUGUAACUAACUUAAAAAUAAUAUAGCAAAGACAAAUUGCUAAAAAGAGCACACUAGAAGGAAAAUUAAUAAGUGUAUUCAUAAUUGAGCAUACAUUGUGUAUAUAGGCAUAAAAAUCUAGGCCACAAUUGGCUAAAGAAAAGAAAAGUAAAAGAAGUCAAGUCUGCUCAUCAUGGGAGCCGUCUUCAACGGAAGGGUCCGUCUCCUAAACCAUGUCCAUCUCUUAGUGCAGGACUACCCGAAAACUCAUCUUCCUCAUCAUCAGAAGGGAACCUAGGAGUAUUGUUUGCAAUGUCAUGCUUCUUCAUACAACACCGGUAGCCAUAGAAGAAUAUGUCAUCAACCUGCUUCUAAUAAUCUGUUUCUAUAUCAUUCUUUUGAGUGGAAAACCCUUCCCGAAUAUCUUAUAGCUCACUUCUCAACUGGGCAGUCUUCUCUUGAACCUUCUCUUUUUUGGCCGCAAUAACAACCUUCUCCUUAGCCAGGCAGCGAGCCUUGGCCUGGGAUGCUUUCUUCUCUUCCUCGACUUUCCUCAGCAGGCAGACACCCUUUCAACCAACUUUUGGGUAGUAACAACCUUACCCAUUGCCGUCUUCAUGACGACUAAGAGCUCCUCAUUUUUGUCCAUGUUAUGGGCGAUAUAUGCCAUCAUGGUUUCGAUUGCUUCUAGUCGUUGGAAAAGGUGCGCUUGUUGUCGUAUGAGGUUACAAACCUCGACUAUCAUCUAGGGGUAGCAAAGAUCAUUAUGAAAUAAGACACUAAAGGAAAAAUGAGAAAAGUCACAAGUGAAAAAGAGGGGGACGACUAACCACUUCCACUGUCUCAAAAGCAGUGUAGUCCCUCAUAUGAAUGAUGCGAACAAUGGCAAUGUCCGGAGUACCAUAAAGAAGUCGCGCCAUGAAAGACUAAUUAGGGUCUUCAUCCACCUCAACCAGAAUUCGUUGCAUAGCUGGAAAGAGCUCUUUAUGUCCUACACUAGAGGCUCCAUUUCGGUAAAGGUUGGGAUACGCCUUAUAAGCUUAGACAAUUUCUUCAUGCUGGGAACAUAGGCUGGCUUUGGGCCGUGAGGAGAAGGAUUUAGACACUUGAAUGAAUCCUCAUUGAUGUUCCCUAAGACGACAAAGGGUUUCCUCAUCUCGUGGUUGGGAAUAUCACCAACAUAUGAGGGUUUAUCAUUCAAACCUGAGUCGACAAUGUUGGCUUGGACGGAGAGUCCAAACCGGGAGCUGGAUGAUCCUUCUUUGAAGAAGAUGGGCCAAUAGCGAUAGACUCAGACAGGCACUUACAUUGCCUCUUACGGAAUCUGGCUCUCAAAUUGGUAGCCAUCUCCUCUUCUUCGUUCUCAUCGUAAAUAAUUAAGGGCACCAACUGACUCUCUUGCUUCUGUCUCGUCAUUGGAAGAUGAAAAGGACAAAAAAAAAAAAAAAAAAAACGGAGAAGGCGAUGAAGACAGCAAGGCAGGAGGUGGAGUUCUCGUUUUUUUGAUGGAACGAGUCGCGGGCUUCUUAUUUUGGGCAUAAAGACGAACAACGAAGUUGGAAGCCGGACGACUAGCAACUUGAGCUUGCUUCAGUGUUCCCUCCUAGUGUUUCUUAUCACGUUCCUCUAAAAAAGCCUGAUGUGCUUUAGAAUAAGCCAAACAAGCAACCUUGUAGAAAAGUACAUCAUUCAGCACGAAAUGUUUGUCAGGCACUAAAGACGAAGAAGCUAGCCGGGAAUACACUAGGAUGAUCAAGACAUUGAAUUUUCAAUUAAGACCUGGAGGUUUUUAUCUGAUAGAAGAAAGUUGUGAGCCCAUUCAACAGCAUCAAUCUUGAACAACUUGUUUAAAUAGGCAAAUGAAGCCUUCUCCACCCACUCCGCAAGACGUCCCCACCUCUCUUUGCAUGUAUUAGACAAACAUGAAGAUCGUGAGUAGGUUAGCAACAAGGAUAGAAUAGUAGCAAGACAAGACGAAAAUGGUAAAAUCAUAGUCUACUUGGAAUCUUCAACAAAUGUUGCGGAGCAAAAACUUUAUCUAGACCCUCAAAAGAACCACUCUAGGGGCCAAACACCAAAACAUGCCCCUUCGCUCAGCCUUUGCUUGAGUUCAAAAAAUUGGUCACGAAUUGGAGAGAAGGGAUGUGGGCAAAUAAGUUGAACCUUUCCUUUGGGUUCAUCUUGACAGUGUAGAUGAGUAAGACUUCUAGUAGAGGAAGAUCUAAUUGGAAAAGCAUAUCCAACACAUUGCACCCCAUCGAUAUCCAGAUUAUGUUCGUAUGAAGGAAAGUAGGAGGAAUUUGUGUGAAGUGAAGAAAUUGUUUAAGAAGAAAAGGAAGAUGAAGACGAAGCCCCACGGAAAACUGUUCUUUAGUAAAGUAUAUCAUGUUAUUCAGGAUAUCGACUGACGAUAAAGCUUCGUCGACUGAUAGUUGAAUCAAGAUGGUGUCCAGAACUCGAAAACGAGCACGAAACUCCUGCUUGGACAGGUCACCAACUGGCAAUUUAGCUUAGAGUGCCCGACUCUAGCAUUUUUUUCAUCUGCCUUGCUGAGGCCUUCUGUUGGUAUUAGUAAUUCAUCCUCUAUCCAUUAUAUCAUAGGGAUCUGGGUUGUGUGGAAACCUGCACGGAUCAAUGUAGUUGGCGGAACCAAUCAAUCAACCCAUUCGUCGUUUGGUGUUGCCCUAGUAACGGACAUUUAAAACUAAAUGAACUAUAAUCUAAAUCUAGAUGGAUUUGAUUGUGAAAACUUGUAGAAAAAACUCCUUCGCCAAUGACGAACGCUGAAUCGCAUACAUCACACCUUCGCACCAUCACGAUGAUAGUGAAAGCAUGAGACAACAACACAAAUACAAUGACGACAUAGAAGCAAACAAGAAGUCUAAAACACCCAAAAUCUGGACAUUGAUAUGUCCAUUUUCUCUCCAAACAAACAACACCAACACAAUCAGAAAAGCAAAAACUAGCCCAACAAAGAAUCAAAAUGACAGUAAAAAACUUACCUAAGCUAAGACCAAAACGCUUUUAGGCGAGAAAAGAAAUCCUCUAGUAGCAUACUAGUUGACGACGAUGGAAGUGAAAAGACGCAAUCGAUGGUAAGCAAAGUAAUGACAAAGAAGCAACAUAGACAAGAGAACACUAUGUAUAGGAAAUGCACCAAAUGACACGCAUCCCUUGGCGCCCAAAAACUAAAAAAAAACAGAUAAUCCAUCAUGCCCCAGUUCAUCAGCAACCUGACCAAACAGAGGUAGACGGAUUAGGAGGAAUUGUGGGAAGCUUCCCUCCACUUGUCCUUCAUAGGCUCAAGACCCUUUGGUCGCCCAAGGCAAGCAAAUAAUCCAUUUGGGAAAAAUUUAUUUGGACUAAGACAAGCUCUAUUUGGCGUAAGAGGAAAGACAAAUUUCCUUCUUCCCCAAUGCUAGACAGAAUGGAUAAACCAAGCUGACUGUGGGACUUUUAGAUGAGCAACCAAGCUAGUAGGAAAUUCCAAGCAUUGAGCGGAUGAUUAACCACCAACAAUGCCUAAGCGACAAUCAAAACAACAUUUACACCCAAAAAUCAAUGUCCUUCAAUUGUUAUUCGCAAUUAUUGACAUUGAAAAACGUAAAUGCACAACCAACCACAUGGUCCAGGAUGUUUGCAUGAUAGACAACAAAUGGCGCCAAUCAACAACUUUUAUUUGGUAUGAUUUCCCAAUCCACUCUAAGAUAAUGGCGUUGACUACCUUAUUAUGGCAUAUUAUUCGCCAUGACGACAAUCAUAAGUGCAAGAAAUGCAUGAAUGCACAAUCAACGAUGUGACGAUGGUGCCAUACAUUCUAUAAAAACCCCUCCAUAAGCAUGAAAAAGGUAUGUGUGUACAUAGCCAUUCAAAAAGUUAGAUUUACUCUUGCUAGACUUAAGUUUCAGAGGGGCAUGCCUGGACCACCUGUCCGGACAUCUUUUUGUGCAAGAAAAUAAUCCAUCUGACUUUGGUGAAAUUAGACGAGCCUGCAUCUAGUUGGCACAACACCAACUGACUCCAUUUUUUUUAUUGAAAUGAUAUAAAAAAAAAUACGUACAAAAAAAAUUCUCAUAAAAUCUUGAAAAACUAAUAAAUUUUUAUAUGACUUGAAAUUACAUGAAUAGUGGUGAGUUUAUGUCUUGAUAUAUGAAACUAUCUUAAAAUGGGCAAAUAGGUAAUCUAAGCUCGUAGUUCAUAAUUUUUAAAUUAAUUUAAUUUGUGGAAAUCAAUAGUUUUCAAUCACAAGACAUAUUACAAGUGUAGGAAUUCUAAAGUUCUAUUCCAAAAUCAGAGAUAUUACCUCUUACUUGAAAUCUUCAAUUUAUCAACCUUCAUUACUUCAAUAAGUUAAUCCAAGGUCACUCAAACUAAAUAUUUAUAAUUAAUGUAUUAAAGCCUAAAUACAUGGUAACCUAUAUUAAGAAAAACUAAAGAUGAGAUUACCAUGACUUGUAGCAUCUAGGUUGUCAUCCCCUAAGAUCCAUAUACUAGACUAUUCAACAAAGCAAAUCCUCUAUCUACAUUGAAAAUGUCUAAAAGUAAAGUUUUUUAUGAAACUAAUUCUUUUUCACACCACUAUCAUGAAAGUAAUAAAAUCUAUAGUAAAAACUUUUGAAGAGUUCAAAAAUCUAAUUUUAGAUUCAUAGAUUGAGAUAGUAACUUUUAACCCUAAGACAAAUAUCAAAGUUCACUAUGAUUGAAUUAGAUCUUAAGAUCAAUUUGCAUCUAGUGUUAAUAUUUAAGUUUAAGGUACUAUUCUCUUAAACAAAUUUAACAUGUCUAUUAUUUCAAUUUUGAGUUUAUAUACUUUCAUUACUAAUAUCCAUCAUGUAGGUUUGAUUCCUAGAGUUUCUCUCAGUGGAUCAAAUCAAGUUGACUAGUGAUCAAUGUAUCCCCAAACAUCACUAGUACCAUAGUAAGAAUCCUUUGUACUUAACCUAAGCCAAACCACAUAGAGGAUUAUUCUAAUUAAUUUAAACACAAAAUAUUUAUAAACAAUCCAAAUGAACUUUAAUGUUCUAUCGCACAUCUCUCUAUAUAUGAAUCAUCUAUCUUUAUGUUACUAUUAGGAAAACAACCUUUAGAUCUAGAUUAAAGAGUGCAUGCAACUAAGAUCCCAAGUGUAGUGAAAAGAUGCCUAUUUUUUCAAAAAAUUAUUCUAAGGUGUUCUUAAAAAACAUACCCUUGGAUUCGAUCCAAAUCUUUUUCCUAAUUUGCAGUAGAAAUCUCAAAUGCAUUGUGAUCUUCUACCUGAUGACUCUCUCUUGGAUCUUAGCUAUAAAGAAGAAUGGACCUCUCUUUAGAGGAAGUGAUGGUUAUGAUUUCUCUCAAAACAAAUUAUAAGACAACAUUUAGUCUAACCCUAAAUCCUAAGAGGAUUUAUAUAAACUAUCAAUUAGGCUUAAGUGACUAAGGCUCAUCAUAUGGGCUUAGGUUGUUUAAUCUUAGCCUAGUAAGUCUUAUUUAAUUAAUUAUGCUAAAUGGCGUCAAUUAAUUAAAUAGAUUAAAAAGAAAACCCAUAAGUCAUUUAAUCAUAAGCCCUUGCACAACCUUUGCUUAUACAAAUGCACCCUUAUGCAUACUUAUAAUUAAGUACUAAAAAAGUUCUCAAAAUAAAUACCACCAAAAAGUGUGAGCUCGAGUGGGACCACCAAAACCCAUAGGAAAGUAUGUAUUAGCUCCCUUAGAAUCAAAUUCUAAAAUUCACUCAACAUUCCAUUAAAAAAAAAGUCAAUUGCACUUCAAUAUCUUAUGAUAUUAGAUGGAGAUAGAAAACUUGGGUCUAUCACUUACUAUCCAUUGUAUGUAAGUUCCUUAUGAACUAAUGUUUAUAAUCCAAAAAUGUAGUAGCUAUCAAUCUUUAAAGAUCACUUCUCAAUCCUUGAGUCUUAAAUCCUCCUAUACCAUGACAAUUUGACAUACUCUAGUCCAGAAAGGAUGUAUGUCAAAUUUCGUUGAAGGAACUGCUAUAGCCAUAUACUACAUGAUCAUGAAAUCCUUGGGAUCAUGCAAAAGGAUAUAUUGUCUCAAAUCCAUGAGAUAUUAUAAUGUCUCUAUGGAUCAUAAUAUCUAUUGUUACUUUCCAAAACAGUCAGUCACCCAAUCCUUUGGGAAUAUAUAAUCACUUUAAGAUUUUACCCAUAGAUCAAAGUGAUUGAUGACCUCUACAUUAGCAUAAUAUUCUCUAAAGGUUGAGAACUCAUGCAAUUAAUAUUUAGUAGUUUUGACAACCCGAUAAUCAUUAGUCAUGAUCCUCCAAAGGUCUUGUUCAAUCUGUAACCAUACACACUAGUACACUUAUCAUGGUAAACCUAUCCUGAUGAGCAAAAUUAUUUAUUCCACCACUUAAGAGGUAGUAUACUAUGACUUUUGAUGGAUUGCCUAAGUCUAAAAACCAGUCAUAAACUAACUCAUCAACUUGUAAGAUGUUAGGAUAAAGCCUUUAAGAACAUGACAUGAUAUAACAAAAUUUAGAAUUUAUUAUUUAUUAAUAAAGUUCCAAUUUUACUUAUAUCUAUCCUUAUUUCAUGCAAUAUACUUUAUAAAUAUUCUGGUUUACAUCUUUUGCAUUGUACAUGAAUUGGAUGCAUUAGGAGUUAUAUAGAAAAUCUAAGUCAUGAGUCCCUUACAAGAGGAUGACUUGUUCACAACUAGUUCGUGUUCCUAGGCAGCCCAUUAGAAAAUGUAGUGCACUACCUCCUAAUUGGAGGGAUAAUUGGUUUUGGCCAUCAAGAUGGGUUUCCUGUACUAGUGUGUAUGGUUACAUAUUGGAUAAGACCUACAGUGAGUCUUGAUGUAAGACUCUCAAGUAGUUAUGAAUUCACCAAGUUGUUUCAUUGUGUUGUUUUUCAACAUUGAGUGAAUAUUGAGUUUAUACUAAAAUUAGUAGUGGUUUUGACCUACAAGUGAGAUUUUAAAGGGAUCAUAUAUUCCCUUAUGGAUUGACUCACUAUUGAUGGAACUUAUAACAAUAGGUAUUCUCAAUAAAGGUACCAUUUUAUCUCAUGAGAUUAAGAUAAAGUGUCUUAUUUGGUAAUCCUAAGAAAGUGUGUUUAUAUAAAUUAUGACUAUAGUAGUUCCUUAAGCGGUAUUGGACAUAAGCUCUUUGUAAGCUAAGAUUGAACAAGCAUAAAAGAAGAAUAGCUUAAUAAGGGCAAACAAAUUUAAGUUAAAACUGUUUUUCACAAGAAGGAAAAAAGAGAGAAGGCCACACAAGAGUGAUAAUUAGAAAAAUAUUAUGUACUAGUAACAAAAUGAUGGAGGGUCCCAAAGAGAAUUGUCUUUCACUUAAGCAUGAAUCUUAAAAAAAGUGAUGGCAACUUUUGGCCACUCAUAAUCACUACUUGAAAUGCUAUUCUUCACCAUACCACCAUAAAAUUGGUAUCUUUAAUCCACUUCUCAGCAAACAACAUUUUGAAAAGAAAAAUCCCUUUCAUCCAUUUUGGAGAAACACCAUCUAGUUACAAAUGAAAUUCUAAUCUAAGAAUUUAGCCAUAAGUAGUUCUUCUAUGAAAUAGCAUUCCAAACACACCUUCGUAUGGUCAAAAGUCAUCCAACUCAAAUACUAGAAUGAGUAGACUCGAUCUAAUUUUAUGACUCCGAAUGAAAUAUCUGCUCCUUGGAAUAAAAUGUAAAGAAUAUUUUUCUUUUAAUUUAUUUUAGGGAAACAUCUCCUAGGAUGUGGUCAGAAAGAAAAUUUAGAAUGCAUUUGGGAGUGAUUCUAAAAAGCGUUUCUCACAUUUUUAACCCUUGAAUGAUAAAAAUUUUCAAGUAUUAGAAAUAUUAAAAGCGCUUCUUAUAAUCACUACCAAAUGGGCUUUUAAUACAAGAAUAUAGUUAAAAUAAUCUAGAAAGUUGUAUUGGAAACAUUCCUUCAAUUAGAAAAAAAAAUUAAAUUAACAUUUUUAACAAGAUCAACUUAUUAUGAUUAAUUAUAAAUUUAAAAUUUUGUAGAAAUACAUAAUCAAGAUCCGAUUAGACUAGCGUUGCCAAUACAUGUCUGAUCCAAAAUGAAUUCGGAGUGAUACUUCUUUUCAAACCCAACUUAAAUUAUAAAUUAAGGAAUCCAAGAUUCUAAAAGAUGGUGCCAAGGAGCACGUAACAAUAAUGAUGAGAUAAGAAAAUAAGUGUAGACUGAAUACAGAAGAAUUGGAACCAAGUAGAGUUGAAAGUGAAUUGAGAGUGAAAGGACAGCUUGUAAGAGGACAUUUCUGGUUCUCAUUCAAAGUAAUGAAUUCUAUGUCGGUAGGCGUUCUGUUCUGCCUUCCUUGUUUUCUUUCUCUUUCACAAGGACUUGAUUAGGAAGACUUGAAGCCAAACCGAAGCAUUCCCACUUGCAACUUAGAUUAUCACUACAUUUGUCAAAGUCAAGUUGGACCAAGUGUUCAGUUUGGGUGUGAAUACAUUAACCAAUAAUUAUAUCAGCAAUAGCUUGAUAGGGUUUAUUCAGAGAGGACAACUUAAAAGGUGAAACGCAUCACACUAAUUUAGGAAAUUUUAGAAAAUGAUUGGACUAUAAUAAUACCCAAGCGAAGAAGAAAAAAUAAAUGGUAUUAAAAGCUAAAAUGAUAGAUGAAAUGUUUGUGGAUGACCUCUAAUCAGUUUUAUUUUUCUUUUUAAUUUUUUUUUAAUUUUAGCACUUAAAUGUUGGGUUUGAUUAAACAAUUAAUGAGAGAUAGAUAAUAGAAAUGAAUUGGAAACAGGCAUUGAUUGCAUGUCCUUAGACGGUUUUAUUUUUUAAAGGAAAGACAAAUGUUAAAACACACUCUUAAACUCUUUCUCCACUUGUCCAUUUUUUUUUUCAAAUAAAAAUAAAUAUGAUUGGAUAAACAUACCCUCUUCUUCAUCUUCUUAAUACCACUCCCUCACCAACCUUAGUUCUUCAAUUUCCUUCCCUUCCCUUCCUUCACCUACUAUAUAUUAUUGCUAUUACAGAAAGGGUUUUCCUUUAAGGUUAGGAAAGAUCAAACCAACUUAAUAUUUAUGCAAGUAAUGGAAAUAAAUUAUAUUAAGGCUACUCUUCCCAAAAUCAAAAGUAUUAAAAAGUUCAUGAAAUUUAAGGAAGAACAUACCAAACUAGUAACAACUCUUUUUUUAGGACAUUAAUGGCUCAGUUGAUCACCAUGCAUGAAAUUUAAUGGUUCAUGGAGGAUAAGUAUCUCUUAAUAUAUUUCAUAUUUAAUUCCUUGUCUCUUAAACAAUAUGGGUCAUUUCAAUUGAAUUAUAAUAUUUUUAAGGAUAAGUAGAAUGUUAAUAAAUUGGUUACUACCCUUGUCCAAGAGGAGAUAGGGCUAAAGCAACAAAUGAACUCAUGCACUUCAUUUUAUAAGCUUUCAACUAGCUAGAAAGAAGUCUACAAAGGGCACAAUCCAAUGACCAUAAUUGAAAUUAAAUGAGUCUUAUAAAGAUUCCCAAAAGAAUGAACAACAAGAAUAAUAAAAUAUCAUUUUUGAAAGAAAAUUGGGCAGUAUAAAAAAGAUUGCUAGCUAGAAACAUAAUGCAUCAUUUUUUUUAGAAAGAUAAGUUGAGUACUUACAUACAUUUUGAAUCAAAUUUAACAGAAGAUCCUUACAACCCUUAGUGGAUUGAUUCACACAUAACUACUCAUAUUUCUAACACAGCACAAGGAUUCUAUAAAAUCCAAAUCAUAAAUCUAAAUGAGAACUUAAAUCCAAUCAAAGCUCCAAUUGAAGCCGCUAGAAUUUGGCAUUUGAAUUUUAAGCUCCAAUUAAAUACAUUGGGAUUUAUUGUUUGAAUUUUAAACAACCAUUAGACUUGUUCUAGACACUUCAUAUAUAUUGUUUUCAAGCAAUUUGAUUUCUUUGUCUAAAAUUGAUGCUUCUGGAUACACUUUCAAAUUUAGGAAUAGGUGUUUCAAUUUUUCUAAAAAUAAUCAUCUCCUAAAUUUUAGUAUCUUACAUGAUGAUUUGUACAAGUUGAAAGGUGAGAAUCUUCUAAAUUAUAAAAAUUUUAGUACCAGAAUGUUUAGUAGAUAAGCCUUUAGCUUUCUUGUGGCAUAAAUGUUGGGGAUUAGUUAAUAAUGAAAUUCCUCCAAACUUAAAUUUAACUGAUACUCAAUGUGUAUGUGGAUUAUAUUAGAGUAAAACCAACUAAACUCCCUAAGAAAUGAGGUACUAGGAGAAUAAAACUUCUUGAGAUUAUAUACAUGAUAUAUGUAGGCAUUUUGAUACCCAUCAUUUGGUGGAGAAAAAUAUUUGUCAAUUUUAUUGAUGAUUUUCCACGUCAUGAUUAUGUUUACCUAUUGCAUAAAAAAAAAAAAUAAAAAAAUAAAAAAUCUCAAUUAACGAGCAUCUUUGGGCCAUACACUAGUGGGGUUGAAAGAUAUAAAAAAGAUGAAAAUUGUAAAGUCAUAUGUGGGUGGUGACUAUUAUGAUAAUUACAAUGAAUCAAUAAAUGUCUUGGAUCAUUUGCUAAAUUCCUUGAAAGAGAUGACAUGUGUGCUCAAUAUGUUAUGUAAGGCACACUAAUAAAGUGAUGUAAUUGAAAAACAUAAUCGUACUUUGAUGAACAUGAUUAAAAGUAUUUCAAGUAAUUUGUUUUUAUCCUUUUUAUUGUAGUUACAUUUUUUGAAAACCAUCAUUUAUUUUUUGAACUGCAUUCCUAGUAAGGCAUAUCCAAAGUUUCCUUUCAAACUAUGGACUAAAAGAAAACCUAGGUUAAGGCACAUGCACGUUUGAGGUUGUGAUGGGGGUUAGAAUAUGUAAUUCAAAGGGAAAGAAAUUAGAUUUUAAAAUGAUAAGUGGAUAAUUUAUUGGUUGUCCAAAAUAGUCUAGAAGUACAAAUUAAAUUUAUUGUCCAACUUAUAGUCCAAGGAUUUUAGAAAUUGGAAAUGCUAGAUUCAUAGAAAAUGGAGAAAUUAGUGGGAGUGGAGAACCGUGUAAUAUGGUUAUUAAUGAAGAAGUUAGGAUACAAGUUCCUUUACCCAAAACUUCAAAGGUUGUUGUUCCUAUAUAUACAAUUGUCAAACAAUUUGAUAACAUUUAAGAACAAAAAGUGAAUGAUCAAGCUUUUCAUAAUGAAACUAUAUUAAUUAACCCGUAGUAGACGAACCACAUGAAAUAGCAUUAAGGUCUCAAAAGAAAGGAGAUUAUGAAAAUCAUGUGGUACAUUUAUAAGUCAAUAUUUAACUUAAGAAUCAAUAAAGAUCCUACUUCAUUUUCACAUGCCCUAAAAGGUAUUGAUUUAGUUAAUUAAAUGGGUCGAUGCUAUGAAAUAAGCUAAAAUCAACAAAACAAAGUUGGCAUCUUGUUGAAUUGUUUGAAAGUCAUAAAAAUUUCUAUGUAAAUAGGUCUUUAAAACCAUGAAUAUAGUAGAAAUUUUGGCAAUAUAAAACCAUAUUGUUUGCCAAAGGUUUUAAUAAAAAGAAAAUGGCACAAAUAACGUAUUUCAUUGACAAGGGAGAGAUCUAGAGUAUUCACUUGCCAAGGUUAAAAGAUUCCCCCACAAUAAUAAUCACCUUCAACAAUAAUUAACAACCUAACAAGAAUCAAGAUUGAUAAUUAAGAAAAUUCAACCAAAAAGGGGACACCAAAUAUAACAUGGAAAAACCCUCCAAAUGGAGAUAAAAAACCACUGAAUUCUACUUUAAUAAGGGGGGAUACUAUAAUUAAGUCCUCAAAUUUCUUCGUCUUGAAAAGUUAUAUAAAUAUCUCAAUACCUAAGGUGGGAAUCCAUCACCUUAGGAAACAUGAACAGAAAGAAAUUAGGGAAAAAAAAUAUACCAUAGGGACUUCCCAAAAAGGUUGAUGAAAAAAACUUGUAACUUCACUUUGAGUCCCAAAAUAGUGCCCAAAAAACAACCCUAAUUUUAUUUUUAUUUUUAAAUCAAAUCUUCCUUCUCUCAUAAUACCAAAGAUCUAAUGCUCAUGGGUUAAACAAACAUAGCCUAACAAUCUCCCCCUCUAGCACAUGAGCGAGGAAUGCCAAUCUAUAACUCCAACACAUGGAGUUUAAACCCUGCUGUCGUAAUGGACAAUUGAAGCUUCUACUGGGGAACAACCUUUAUAAAUAUAUCUGAGGCAUUGUUGUUUCUAUUAAUCUUCUUCAAUUUGGCUACAUUUUCUUCAACUAUAUUGUCCUUUCACAUAUAUUUUUCUUAAUUUUUAUGUUUUUUUUAAAUAAAAAUAAAAAAAGAGAUGUGGAUAUAAAAAGAGAAAUGAUGGAUGUGUUUAAAAUUUAUCUUCCCUAAAACAUUCUCAUAUUAUCUUUUUAAAAGAAUUCAAAAAUACUUUCUACUAAUUUUUUUCUUAUUUUCAUUAUUAUUAUGAUUAUUAUUAUUAUUUUUCAUGAUAUUCAAAUAUAAGAAAACAUCUCCCUUAAUAUGCAAAAUUUUCAAAUUUUCAUAAUUAUUAUUUGUAAAAGGUGGGGCCAUUGAAUAAGACUUCCUUAAGAGAGCCUUGAUUCUCUCUCUCUCUCUCUCUCUCUCUCUCAUCCUUCUAUUUUCUUGCCAAUUUAAAAAGACUUUAGGAAGACCUUGAUGCCUAAAACUAUAUACAAAGUGAACCCUCAAUUAGGCCGAAACAUCAACCUCAUACUCUCAUGAUCAAUUCAAUAAUGUUUCCGACCAAUAAAACUCUUGUAUAAAUGGUCGAAAAAUGUCUACAUAAUUAAAUUUAUUUUUUAUCAGAUGAAUUAAGAAUUAUAAUUAUAGUUGAAACAUGGUCUUUGAGAAGACAACUGAAAAUAAUUGAAACCUUAUGAAAAUAUUUAGGAGAGGUGAGAAAAUGUUGAUCACCAUACCGAGUAAUGUGAAUAAAUGGAAAGAAAAAAUGUUCAGCUUAAAGAAUUGACCAUUCACUACGUGUUGUUUGAGCUAAACAAAAGGUAGGCCAAAAAAAAUGACUGAGACUUCCUUUUUAUGUUGAUGGAACGCACAAAAGAAUUCCGAAUUUCCAAGUGAUAAUGACUUUAUUAUUAUAGAUAGUUUUAUAUUUUCAUUAUAAAAUGAAAUGGUGCAAAUAUUGAAUUCAUUCAAUAUCACUGUCUUUCUAAAUUAAGUCAACUAUACAUGUAUAAGUCUAUAAAAUUGAAUUAAAUAUUUAUAUUCUUUUAUCAAAAUAAUACAAAAUCAUAGUUAAUAUGUUUUUUUAAGAACAAAAGCAGGAAAUAAAUAAAUAAAUUUCCACACAAAUUGUUGUGUGGAAAAAAUGAAUAAAUUUUUGAAAAAGAAAAUAAUAAAUUGUUGUGUGACUUGGAAUAACAUGAAUGGGAAAAUAAUUGAAAGAAAAAGCAAAAAUGGUCAAAUUAAGGUGAUGUUUGUUAUUUUACUUCAUUCUAAAUAGAACUUUAAUAUUUAAUAGUAUUAAGUAUUAGACUAUUUAUUUCUAUUAAGUAUUAAAAGGUAAAGAAAAUCAAUAUAUAUUACUUUUUAUAUUUAGAAAAAAAAACCAAAUAUUUUGACUUUUUCUAUUUAACAAAAAAUUUAUAAUAAGUCAUGAAAAAAAUAUAAAAACAAACAACCAAAAGUUUGAAAAUAAAUUGCUUUUACAAAAAACUAAAAAAACAAACACCCUCUAAGAUUUUGAUUAAUAAUGAUAUUAAUGGUCAAGAGUGAAGAGAUUAAAAGGGAACUCACUCCUCCAAAAGGUUUAAAUUGGAUCAUUCUUAAAACUUCACUUAAAGAUCAAUUUUAGCGUUAUGAUGGUUGAUUGAGAAGUGGAUUAAUUUUCUAAUAUUAAUUGUCCUAUGAUGAUGAUGAUGAUGAUUAUUAUUAUUAUUGUUAUUAUUAUAUUUAAAAUAUGCUGUGGAAAAAUGUAUAUAAAGAAAAAAACAAGAUAUAUAAAGUGAGGUGUCAUCUUAUGUGUAACUAUAUAACCGUUUCUCAUCUUGAAACAUCCAUAAAAGUAAUGUUUAAACAUGUGUGGGCUUAGUAGUCUCUCCCAGCUGCUGCCAAUGAGAAUUCUAUUCUUUUUAUGGAUUUUAUUCAUGCCCUUAUGCCCGAUCUUUUUUGGUAUGCAUUGUACUUCGGUGUCUGGCGAAUGUCUGAGUGAUGGGAGGGUAUGCCUGGAAGAUGAGGUGUUGUUGCUGCUGCAACUGAAGAGCAGCCUCAUAUUUAAUACUGCUGCAUCGAAUAAACUAGUUUCCUGGAUUCAAAGCGCGGACUGCUGUUCUUGGGGAGGUGUAACCUGGGACGCCACUGGUCGUGUUGUCUCUCUUGAUCUCAGUAGCGAAUUCAUUUCUGGUGAACUCAAUAGCUCCAGUAGCAUUUUCAGUCUACAAUAUCUCCAGAGCUUGAAUUUGGCUAACAACACCUUCUCUUCUCAAAUUCCAGCAGAAUUCCACAAGCUUGGAAACUUAACUUACCUGAAUUUGUCCAACGCUGGCUUUUCUGGGCAGAUUCCAAUUGAGAUUUCCUACUUGACAAAGUUGGUUACUAUUGAUCUAUCUAGCCUUUAUUUCAUCACCGGUAUCCCAAAACUGAAACUUGAGAACCCAAAUCUGAGAAUGCUGGUUCAGAACCUCAAGAAGCUAAGAGAACUCCAUCUUGACGGUGUAAUCAUAUCAGCCCAGGGAAAGGAGUGGUGCUGGGCAUUAUCAUCUUCAGUACCUAAUCUCCAAGUGCUGAGCUUGUAUAGCUGCCAUCUUUCAGGCCCUAUACAUUAUUCCCUGAAGAAGCUUCAGUCCCUCUCAAGGAUUCGUCUGGAUGAUAACAAUAUUGCUGCUCCAGUUCCAGAAUUCCUCUCCAAUUUCUCAAAUUUGACUCACUUGCAGCUCAGUUCUUGUGGAUUAUAUGGAACAUUUCCAGAAAAGAUCUUUCAGGUACCAACCCUCCAGACUCUUGAUUUGUCAUACAACAAGUUGCUCCAGGGUUCUUUGCCAGAAUUCCCUCAGGGUGGAUGUCUAGAAACCUUGGUGCUCUCGGUUACAAAAUUUUCAGGGAAAUUACCCAACUCCAUAGCGAAUCUCAAGAGGUUGGCUAGAAUAGAGCUUGCAGAUUGUGAUUUCAGUGGUCCAAUCCCAACGGUGAUGGCAAACCUUACUCAAUUGGUUUACUUGGACUUCUCUCAUAAUAAGUUCUCUGGUGCAAUCCCAUCUUUUAGUUUGUCCAAGAAUCUAACCCUAAUAGACCUUUCUCAUAAUAAUUUAACAGGUCAGAUUUCUUCCUCUCACUGGGUUGGUUUUGUGAAUUUAGUGACUAUUGACUUUUGUUACAAUUCACUGUAUGGAAGUCUCCCGAUGCCCCUGUUCUCCCUCCCGUCACUGCAGAAGAUAAAACUUAACAACAACCAAUUUUCUGGUCCAUUUGGUGAAUUUCCAGCUACGUCUUCUCAUCCCAUGGAUACCCUUGAUUUGAGUGGCAACAAUCUGGAAGGGCCAAUACCUGUAUCCCUCUUUGAUCUCCAGCAUCUUAACAUCCUUGACCUUUCUUCCAACAAAUUCAAUGGCACUGUUGAGCUAAGCCAGUUUCAGAAACUUGGAAAUCUUACUACUCUUAGUCUUUCGUACAACAACUUGUCCAUCAAUCCAAGUCGUAGUAAUCCCACUUCUCCUCUUCUGCCAAUUCUUUCCACGUUAAAAUUGGCUUCUUGCAAGCUCAGAACAUUACCUGAUCUUAGCAGCCAGUCAAUGUUGGUAAUUUUAGACCUUUCCCAAAACCAAAUUCCGGGGAAAAUACCAAAUUGGAUUUGGAAGAUUGGUAAUGGCUUUCUUUCUCAUUUGAAUCUCUCUCAUAAUUUACUGGAGGGUUUGCAGGAACCUUUGUCCAAUCUUCCUCCGUUUCUGUCUACCCUUGACCUUCAUUCCAACCAGCUCCGUGGGCCAAUCCCCACUCCACCAUCUUCCACCUAUGUGGAUUACUCAAACAACAGGUUCACCUCUUCCAUUCCCGAUGAUAUUGGUACUUACAUGAACGUCACUGUUUUCUUCUCUCUUUCAAAGAAUAACAUCACUGGAAUUAUUCCUGCAUCAAUCUGCAAUGCCCAUUACCUGCAAGUUCUUGACUUUUCUGACAACAGUUUAAGUGGCAAAAUACCCUCAUGUUUGAUUGAGAACGGGGAUCUUGCAGUGCUGAAUCUACGGAGAAACAAGUUUAAGGGCACUAUACCUGGGGAAUUCCCAGGUCACUGUCUUUUACAGACCCUAGAUCUCAAUGGGAAUCUUUUAGAAGGAAAAAUUCCAGAGUCUCUGGCCAAUUGCAAAGCAUUAGAGGUUUUAAACCUUGGGAACAAUCGGAUGAAUGAUAUCUUUCCUUGCUGGUUGAAGAACAUUAGCAGUCUGCGUGUUCUUGUUUUGCGAGCCAACAAAUUCCAUGGACCCAUUGGAUGUCCAAAUAGCAAUUCCACCUGGCCAAUGCUUCAAAUUGUCGAUUUAGCUUGGAACAAUUUUAGCGGUGUGUUGCCAGAAAAAUGUUUCUCAAACUGGAGAGCAAUGAUGGCAGGUGAAGAUGACGUCCAAUCCAAGUCCAAUCACCUGCGAUUUAAGGUCCUAGCAUUCAGUCAAUUGUACUAUCAGGAUGCAGUAACAGUUACCAGCAAAGGUCAAGAAAUGGAGCUUGUGAAGGUCCUAACUCUCUUCACUUCCAUUGAUUUCUCAUGCAAUAAUUUCCAAGGGGACAUACCAGAAGAUAUAGGAGACUUGAAGUUACUUUAUGUUCUCAACUUAUCUGGUAAUGGUUUCACAGGCCAAAUCCCAUCAUCACUAGGACAGCUGCGACAGCUUGAGUCAUUAGACCUCUCACUGAACAAGCUGAGCGGGGAGAUCCCUGCACAGCUCUCGAGCCUAAAUUUCCUUUCGGUCCUGAACCUCUCUUUCAAUGGAUUGGUGGGAAGGAUCCCUACAGGUAAUCAAUUGCAAACAUUUUCAGAAAAUUCAUUUGCAGGUAACAGAGGAUUAUGCGGCUUCCCUUUAAAUGUAAGUUGCGAAGAUGCUACACCACCCACGUUUGAUGGCAGGCACUCAGGUUCCAGGAUAGCGAUUAAGUGGGACUACAUAGCUCCUGAAAUUGGAUUUGUGACAGGGCUGGGAAUCGUGAUUUGGCCUCUUGUGUUGUGUAGGAGAUGGAGGAAAUGCUACUACAAACAUGUUGAUGGAAUUCUUUCAAGGAUUCUCCAUCAGAAAAACCAAGGAAGAGAAAGUGGUGGAAGACGAGGUCACGGAAUUCGGAGGCGGAGAAUGUAGCACUGAUGAAGAGGGAUGUGACCACUGGCCAUGAGUCUAUUUCCAUUAAUUCAAUCCGAAACAUUAAAAAGGGGUCCAUAAUAUUAUUUAAGUAAAUGUAUAAUUUUAUAUUUGGACAAUGCCAUGGUGUAGAUUUUUAUAGUAACGUUACUCUUACCUUUAGUGAUGCGAGUAUCAUGGUAUAUAAAUAAACGGUUUUUAUAUAAUAAAGAAUUUAAGUUGUAAAACCACUCCAUGAAAGCUUUCCUACAAAUAUAACAUGUUAUAUUUAAGAAAUUUGAAACAAAGCUAUAGAAAAUUGUUUUUACAUAUUAAAUAGAAAAUAUCUUUUCUACCCAUGUCCAGAAAUGCUUUUUAUGUACAGCCACAGUCUAUAACCAUUUUAAACCUACCCAAAUUAAAAUUCUAACUAGGGUGAUUCAGGGAGCCACUCAAGCUGGGCUGGAGAAUGGGUAAAGAUAUGUUGGCUGGAUGUGGGCCCGAGUUGGGCUAAACUUCGUUGGGUGGAUUUCUGUUGGUAUUAAAAAAUAUGGGCCUGGUUGUUACAAACGAAGACCCCCAAUGAGGGAGCUAGGUCCAUAUUCAGCCCAAUCAGCACAUCUGAAGCCAUAAGGGAUUUAACAACAUGAGCUUGAAAACUAAAACCCAAAACCAUUCCCUAAAUUAUCAAAAUCCAUGUCCAGCUUGGCAUUCAAAUUGAAUUUCCCUAAGCAGGUUCAAUCUCUCCUUCCCUAUUUCACCCUUUAUGAAUCCAUGACCUUCACAUCAUACCCCGCAAAUGACUGUACAGUUUUUGGGUUUGUUUUUGCCUUCCUAAUCAACUUUUAUGUUAAGGUAAAGAAUUCAUUUGGGUCUUCACAUAGUAGUUUAUCUAUCAUUUGUAAUUAUUGUGAGAAAAGAUUAUAUAAUUUCACUUCUUUUUUUUUUUUUUCAUCUAGUUUUAGGAUGCAUUGGUACAUGGAAAUGAAAAUGGAAAUAUGAUGGAAAUGGAGGUAAAUAAUAAGUGAGAGUAAAAUUUAGUUUCCAUGAUAAUGAAUCUUUUUAUUCCUAUUUUCAUUCUAAGAAACUAUUCAACCACAUUAAUGAAAGGAAAAUUGAAUUGAUUUCUCAUUCCUUAUUUUGCUAUUCCAAACAUGGCUUUUAAUCUAUUUUACUUUUAAAAGAAAGAAAAACUUAUCUUUAAGGACUCAAGGAUGUACCAAACGUAAUUAGAGUUGGUAAGUAGUUAAUAGAUUGUCCAUUGUUUGUAACUAAUUAGAAGGUUGUAAGUUAUAUAAUUUGUGGCUACUUAUUAGUGUUGCUGUGUGGUUGUUCAAUUUUUUAGUUUUUAUUUUUUUUAUCAAUUUUCUCUCAAACAAGUGCUCUGGAUCUCUUACGUACUCUCUCCAUAUUGAUUGUUUUGUACGUAGCUACCAAAGAGUUUUAGAAAGUGUAUGCUUGAGGCACAUAACAUGAGAUCUUUCAAAGUUUGCAAAUCAUAACAAAAAAAGAUAUGUAGAUUUGUGACACUUUGAGGUAAUGAGACAUUGGAGAUGGAAAUAUUGAAAAUGAUGUCUCUUCUCUCAUUAAAAUUUUUCUCUUGGUUGAAAAUUUAUAGCACAAUUUAUUGAAUAUUAAUUAAUUUUGUGACAAAGAUUUUUAUAUUAUUUUUUUUUUUACUUAAUUUGUUGUAUUAUUAAAGAUAUUCAAAAUGAUGAAAUCAUUUCCUGAGGGUCAUAAAAAUAAAACGGUUUAUACUACAAAACAUAAUAAAAAAUAUAAUUAAUGACCAUGAAAUUUUUUUUCUAUAUAUGAUUAAUUCGAUUUGAAGACUAAUAUAAGUGUUUAAUCAUCUCUAAUCUUACAUAUUCAUCCCAAUGUUACUUUUUAAUAAGCCUUUUUCCUAGAGUCAACAAUCUCUCCCCUAAGAUAGAGCUCCUAUAAUUCGAACUCAUGAUCUAAUUUUGAUAUCACUUGUUAAGAUCAAGAACUUAGCUAUAUUAUCUUUGAAAAUCAAUUUGCUAUCAAUGAGGUCAUCCUAAUCCUUUUUAUGUGGUUCUCGUUCGUACUCAUCUUGAGACUUAACCAUCUCGAGUGAAAUAUUGGUGCCUUAGCAUCUUCCGCUUUACACAUUUUUCAAUAGCCAUUUUUUGUAAGAAGCAACAAUAUUAUUGCACACUUAACAACUUUCUCCUUCCUUUGUCUUACGUAGUUUGAUGCUUUGAUAGGACAAUGACCAGAACCGGAGAUUAGAGGAUGACCAACAAUGACCACCUUUUUGAUGCCCUAAUUCAUGAAUAACUAACAUGCUUUGAUACUAUUUUGAAUCUUUGAUACUCUGAUUCACCAAUGGCCUUCAAACUGACGAGUUGAUUCCAUUUCAAAUUAGUGUGUUAAUGAUGCUGAUGCUGUUCUGAUUAGAGGAAGCUGAUGGUGCUCGAAUUUGAAGCUGGGGAUUCUGUUGCAGGGUACUGAUUAUACCAGUGCUAUAAUAUGGUAGUGAUUUUGUUUAUUGGAGAAGGAGAUUUUGAAUAUUUGAUCGAUGCUGCUAGUUGAAAGGUAUUUUUGAUAUUUAAAUAUUUUUGAUGAAUAUGCUCCAAUCCAGGACAUUGUUUGAUCAAUAGGCCCAAUACGUAAUUUCCUAGUUUGUUUUUUAGUAAUUGGAAGUAAAGAGAAAUUUGAGGGUGUGCAAACUUAAGGGUAAGUGAGUUUGACAUUACAAGUGGCUAUUGUGAAAAUUUAUGUAGAAUCUAUUAUUUUUUAAUUUUUUAUAAUUAUUUUAAUUUUAAUAAUAUAUAAAUUAUGUGUUUAUAGCAUUAUCAAUUUGAUCAAAGUUCAAUGAAUAGUUUGACUGUUGAACCGUAAAUCAAUGACUUUUUCAAUUUAGUUCUCUAAAAUAUUAAACAUUGCAAAUGGGAGUACAUAUUAAUUAAAAAACAAACAAACAAAACUUAUCUUUACGUCAAGAACUUCAUAUUUGCUCAUUUUAGGACUUUUAAUAAUGGAGGAACGUAUCAUGCAUUUGCCAUAAUGAAUGAUUUAGGUACAUAUGAGUUUUAUUUUUAAGUUAUAAAAAUGAACCUUCUCUUUUUCUGUCAAAAUCUUGCAAAAAGGUUAAAAAUGAAAAACAAAAAAAAAUUACAAUCACUUAUAAUCUGUAUUGAUCAUGGACAUAAUUUUUCUAUUUCUAAAACACCUUAAUAGAUAGGUUGUUGAAGAGAAAAAUAAAUCUAUAUAAGAAACGACAAAAACUUGGCUUAAUGAAAACAAUUUUUCUUAAUGAAAAUAGUUUUCUAAUUAUUUUGGGUGAAAGCAUUUAAUAUUACUUGCUAUAUUUUAAAUAACGUUUGAUAGAUAAACUCAUCAUUAGAGUUUUCAAGGUCUUUAUGUUCUUUACGUAAACUUUUUAAGAUGAUCUUUAAUAUUCUUUAUUCAGUAAUAAUGUUUUUGUUUUUAUUACUUGAUUUGUAUAUUAAAAAAGUAAUUAAGCUCCCUUACCAUAUGCUCAUUUCAAAUUCAUUUUCUAUAUAUAUACUAAGAGAAUUAUUGACAAAGAGAGAUGCUAGUAGCACUAAAUAUUAUGUUGUCAACAUAAAUUUAAACUAAGAGCAUGUCAUUACAUUUGGUUUUAAUAAAUAUUUUAGUGUCCAUUCUAUCCAUUUUUAAUCUAUUAUCAAGCAUAGUUUUGUUUACCCAAUUGAAUUAGAAGUGAACAUCAAAAUAUUUUUUUCCAAACUUUAUGAAAGUCACAAUAUGUAGCAUUUAACAUGUAUGAGGUUUACAUGUAACGGUCAAUAUUUUUACUCAACCUUGUUUGAAAUUAAUAUAUAAACUCAUAUUAUUUCAAAUGGGUAGAAUUUGUUUUGUGAAAAUUUCAAGGCAUGAAACAACUUCUCAUAUAAAUUAAAAAAGAAUAUGAAAAAACUUAAAUACAUCAUCCAUACUUUUUCAUACUAUUUUUUUUUUUAAUGAAAUGACUUAAAUAAAUUCAAGAGCAUUUACGUCCUUAAAAACGUGUUUAAAGAAAAUAAAAGAAGAAAAGAAAGCAAAAUAAAACAAAACUUAAAUACAUUAUCAAUGUAACUCAAAAAGAAAAGGAAAAAAAACUUAAAUAUAAUAUCCAUAUUUUUAUAUUGAACAAUUUUUCAUUAAAAUUAACUAAAUAAGUUUGAAUGCAAGUUCAAACUUAAUUUAAUCCUAAAAUUAACUAAAAUUUAAUUUUAAUGCUAGGUUCAUAGAAAAUGCUAGGUUCAUAGAAGAUGGUGAGGUUAAUUAGUGAGAGUCAAGAACUAUGUAAUAUGAUUAUUAAAGAAGUUAGAAUGCAACUUCCUUUAACCAAAACUUCAAAGAUUGUUGUUCCUUACAAUUAUUAAACAAUUUGAUAACAUUUAAAAACAAAAAGUGAAUGAUCCAACUUUUCAUAAUGAAAUUGCACUAAUUAACCCAUAGUAGAGGAAGGGCACGCGUGAAAUAGCAUCAAGGUCUCAAAACAAAGGAGAUUAUGCAAAUCAUGUGGUACAUCUAUAAGUCAAAAAUUUAACUUUUUCAUUUUUACAUGCCCUAAAAGAUAUUGAUUUAGUUAAUUAAAUGGACCAAUGUUAUGAAAUGGGCUAAAAUCAAUGAAACAAAAGUUGACAUAUUGUUGAAUUGUUUAGAAGUCAUAAAAAUUUCAGUGUAAAUAGGUCUUUAAAACCAUGAAUCUAGUAGAAAUGUUGACAAUAUAAAACCAUAAUUUUUGCCAAAGGUUUCAACAGAAAAAAAAAAAAAAAUGGCAUGAAUCACGAAUAUCCCUGUCUCACCCCAUCUCUAAAACACGUUCAUUUAGAAUCUUUAUGGCAUUGAUAGACUUGGAGUAACACAUUCAUUUUAAAAUGACUUAACGUAGCUAGGAAGACUUUGAGGUCUAAAGUUAUAGAGAAGUCAAUAAGCUCUUGGGAAAAACAUGAAGCACAUACGUCUUCUAUAGGACAAGAUAGGAGUAUUGUAUGUUCUCUUUGCCACAGCGACUCCUGUCACUCUCACAGCCAACUUCCAUGAUCCUUCCCACAGAAGUAUCAAAGUCGAGGUGGUCGACCAAGAUCUCUGUUAUAGUGUGAAUACCUUUACCACAAAGAGUUGUAAGAUAAGCAUGAAGAAUGUGUUCAAGAUACAUUUAGAAUGCUGUGUUGUUUAUGCAUAACUAGACACCCCCCUUUCUUUUUUCUUUCUGUUCAAACAUCUACAAAAAAAUAAAAUAAAAUAAAAUAAAAAAUCAUAUUAAACAUGUUUUGUUGUAGCAGUAUCUCCCAGCUGCUUCCAAUGAGAAUCCAAUUCUUUCAAUGGCUUUAUUUCUUGCCCUUAUGCUUAAUCGUUUUUGGUAUCCAUGUUGCUUUGGUGUCCGGGGAAUGUCUGAGUGAUGGGAGCACAUGCCUGGAGGAUCAGAUGUCCUUGUUGCUGCAACUGAAGAGCACCCUCAAACACAAUGUUGCUGCAUCAAGUAAACUAGUUUCCUGGAAUCCAAGCGGGGAUUGCUGUUCUUGGGGAGGUGUAACCUGGGACUCCAGCGGUCAUGUUGUCGGACUUGAUCUGAGUAGCGAAUUGAUUUCUGGGGGGUUCAAUAGUUCCAGUAGUCUUUUCAGUCUACAACAUCUCCAGCGCUUGAAUUUGGCUAACAACAGCUUCAACGAUUCUCAAAUUCCGUCUGGAUUCGGUAAGCUUGGCAAUUUGAUUUACCUGAAUUUGUCUAGCGCUGGGUUUUCUGGGCAGAUUCCAAUUGAGAUUUCACGCUUGACGAGGUUGGUUACUAUUGAUUUCUCUAUCCUUUACUUCCUUGGACUUCCUACGCUGAAACUCGAGAACCCAAAUCUGAGAAAGCUGCUUCAGAACCUCAGAGAGCUUAGAGAACUCCAUCUUAAUGGUGUAAAUAUAUCGGCUGAGGGGAAGGAGUGGUGCCAGUCAUUAUCAUCUUCAGUGCCUAAUCUCCAAGUGCUGAGCAUGCCAAACUGUUAUCUUUCUGGCCCUCUUGAUUCUUCCUGCAGAAGCUUCGGUCUCUCUCAAGCAUUCGCCUGGACAAUAAUAACUUCUCUGCUCCUGUUCCAGAAUUCCUUGCGAAUUUCUUGAAUUUGACUCUAUUGCGGCUCAGUUCUUGUGGAUUACAUGGAACCUUUCCAGAGAAGAUCUUUCAGGUACCAACCCUACAGAUUCUUGAUUUGUCAAACGACAAGUUACUACAAGGUUCUUUGCCGAAAUUCCCUCAGAAUGGAUCUCUAGGAACCUUGGUGCUCUCGGAUACAAAAUUCUCAGGGAAAGUACCAUACUCCAUAGGCAAUCUCAAGAGGUUGACUAGAAUAGAGCUUGCAGGUUGUGAUUUCAGUGGCCCAAUCCCAAACUCGAUGGCAGACCUUACACAACUGGUCUACUUGGACUUAUCUAAUAACAAGUUUUCCGGUUCAAUCCCACCUUUUAGUUUGUCCAAGAACCUGACCCGAAUAAACCUUUCUCAUAAUUAUUUAACAGGCCCGAUUUCUUCCUCUCACUGGGAUGGCCUAGUGAAUCUAGUGACUCUUGACUUGCGAGACAAUUCACUGAAUGGAAGUCUCCCCAUGCUCCUGUUUUCCCUCCCAUCACUGCAGAAGAUACAACUGAGCAACAACAAAUUUUCUGGUCCCUUGAGUAAAUUUUCAGUUGUGCCUUUUUCUGUACUGGAGACCCUUGAUUCGAGUAGCAACAAUCUGGAAGGGCCAAUACCUGUAUCUGUCUUUGAUCUCCAUUGUCUUAACAUCCUUGAUCUUUCUUCCAACAAAUUCAAUGGCACUGUUGAACUAAGCAGCUUUCAGAAACUUGGAAAUCUUAGCACUCUUAGUCUUUCAUACAACUUCUUGUCCACCAAUGCGAGUGUUGGUAAUCCCACUUCACCUCUGCUGUCGAAUCUUACCACAUUGAAAUUGGCUUCUUGCAAACUCAGUACAUUACCUGAUCUUAGCACCCAGUCAAGAUUGACACAUUUAGACCUUUCCGAUAACCAAAUUCGCGGGAGCAUACCUAAUUGGAUUUGGAAGAUUGGUAAUGGAUCUCUUAUGCAUUUGAAUCUCUCUCAUAAUUUACUGGAGGAUCUGCAGGAAA
rnacentral:lncRNA from 1 species